rnacentral:lncRNA from 1 species
UUUUUUUUUUGGUGACUACACAGGAUUGGUCUGGGCAGAGAGCAAGCAACAUAGCCUCAGAGAUUUGUGGAUUUCUUACAGUUCUUGCUGGGACUGUUGUGCUUCAUUCGACUAGAGAACCUGAUCAAACUUCAUCAGCAGGUAGAUCUUUGUUCAGUUUAGUAGAACUGAUAUUGAUUUCUUUCUCCAAAUUAUUCUCAGCUUUUCUGUUUAUCUACUGCAGACCUGUAUGCACCACUCCCGCCAAAAAUAUAUUGGCACAUCCAAGGGAAUGGCGAUAUUGGGAAACAAAGAGAGGAUGACUCCCUUACAUGUGAAUUCAUCACUGUUGUGCGGCAAGACUACUUUGUGUAGGGAUCAUCCAGUAUGCCUGCCUGGUUUUUCAUAUGUUUUUUUUUCCUGAGUCCCUCCACUGUAGUAUGUAGACAGAAUCCGUUACAAGACCCAUUCUAGUCAAAACACCAGCUUGGAGCAAUUGUGAAAUUUUGUAGAAAUUGUGUUGGAUUGCAUCCAGCGCGUUGCGUCCAAGCUAGUGGCCAAAACAUUUGCUUUCUAAACAACCUAGCCUUAGUUUGAAGAUGUGUAGCAAGUGUUUUACUGCCCCCAUCUGAGUGUAAAUUAUGUAAGGUGUUGGCUUCCUUUUGCUAUCCUCGUUCUUUUAAAGUAGAAUCCUUUUCGGCUCCUGAAUGUAAGUUGAUGUAUUUGAGGUUUGUAUUUGUGCAGUGCUUUGUGAUUGUAAACCCCCCAGCUCAGUGAGGUUUUGAAACCAAGCAGAGCUGCUUGCUUUGAUUUUGUGUAUGUUUGUAUAAAGUCUAUAACGUAUGCUUGAGUGCUUUGAGCCCUUGACCAUAGGUCCAGCACAAUCCUGAAUAUUCAAGAGGUUUCGAGUGCACGCUCAUCUGUGAUUCUGUGUUCGAUGUAUCAUGCAUGUUCCUCUUAUGCACGUCAUUGCUGUCAAACUUUUUGGUCUUGUCGGCCUCUUCUGAUUUGUGCCUGUACACUACCUUCCGGGUAAAGAACAUCUCACCGCUAUACGCAAGUGUAUAACACAACUACAAUCUACAUGCUAUGCUGUCUGUCAAGACAAAUUCCUAGACUGACUGACAGCCACAGCAGCUCAAUGCCAGCAGGAUCUGAUUUCCCAAGUUCCUGGUCGUUCUUGGCGAAGUAGGGGACAAAUUCUGGCAUUGGCACUUUAACUUUAUAAUACAAAAAUAUAUGAUGCACUGGCACUUCACAAAAUAUGUCCUUAUUUUGUGUUUUAAAGUUCGGAACACAAUUACAGAAACGUUAACUGCUGUUAGAUAUUUAGCUUUACAACAAGAGUGCAGUGAACACCUAAUAAAAUCGAGAAAAUUUCCUAUGUAACACUCGAAGAUAGACCAAUUACCAAUUUGACAUUCGAAAUUUUAAUCUUCCGAGACUCGCUUCAAAUUUCAGGUGUUUUAUGACACUACCGUGAGAUUCGCCAACUGACACAGUUACGUUUGAUAGGAAAAGACCAAAAUACCCCUACGUGCAUUACCACACGGCAGCCAUCAGCGGCGCGGGUGCCCGGUUGGAGCUCAACGGCUGCCCGCUCUCGCCGGCCGCGCCCGCAGAUGGGACGCUUCGACUCGUACGCGAGCGCCGGCCGGUCGCCGCUGCUGAUGAUGCGUACGCAGGUGGCUUUCGGCUUCUUUUGCGCCGGGAGCCAUGCGCACAAAGCCGUAUCCUUCUCCCUGAAGACCCGAAGUAUUCCCCUCUCCGCCUCUCACUAGCGAACAAGCAACUGAGCUGCACCUGCUUCCUGUCCUCUCCACCGAACAACAUCCAGCAACCAGCUCCAAACCACAGCACCACCUGCAUAUCUCUCUCGAUCUCCUUCAUGCGGACCAGCUAGCUCCACCAAUACAGCGCCUCCUGCAAUUCCUUCUCUGUUCUUUUCUCUACCGCAAAAGGAAGCAAGCAGCAACAUCGGCACCACCUCCCAGCUCCCAGUCUCCACGAUUCAUGCAAUCAUGCCACACACAAAUCUCCAAGGCUGUGCUUGGCAUUGAAUUGGUUUCAAUACCAAAUCAGUCAUGGUAUUGCAUUGGUUCACAAUUCGAAUUGUAUUGUUGGAUGACUAUGCAUUACCUUUUGGAAUCCUUGGAAGCAUUUCAAUUCGAUUCCUGUUUGGAUGUGCAAAAGCGUGAAAUCGAAAUUUAUCGGUGAGUCAAGGAGCUCCUGCCGCCGCCCAAAUCUCCUGCCCAACCAAGCUAGCCGCGCCGCCUGUCCUUUGCCGGUGAGUCAAGGAGCUCCUGCCACCGCCCAUGGGGAGGACGAGAGGUGGGAGACGGAGGGGCCCAGGCGGCGCGACUCCCCAGGGAGGGAGGCAGGGGAAGGCAGCGCGGGAGGCCAGCGGAGGCAGGCAGGGAGGGGCGGCGCGGCUCCCCCGGCGGAGGAAGGCAGGGCGGGGCGGCGUGGGAGGCGAGCGGAGGUAGGCAGGGAGGGGCGCGUGCGGCUCACCGGUGGAGGGAGGCAAGGGAGGGGCGGCGUGGGAGUCCAGCGGAGGGAGGCAGGGGAGGGUGGCGUGGCUCGCCGCCGGAGGGAGGCAGGGGACGGCGGCGUGGCUCGCCGGCGGAGGAAGCCCGGGAGGCGGCGGGGCUCGCCGGCGGAGGGAGGCAGGGCGCGGCUCGCCGAAGUGGAAGGGGCUGCGAGGGAGGGAGAGAGAGACGCGACGGGGGGACCGGGGGAGAUUCCAGCCAAUACAGAGGGUGCUAUCCUCGGUAUCGAGGAUGACGGGGUGGCAGUGGAAGGAAUGCCUGGUACUGAGGUUCAACUCCAAUUCCGAAUUCCAUAUCACCCAAACAGUCGGACAUAUCAAUAUCAAUUUCGAAUUCCAAAUCUAUCGAGGUUCAACUCCAAUUCCGAAUUCCAUAUCACCCAAUCAGUCGGAGAUAUCAACAUCAAUUUCGAAUUCCAAAUCUCAAUAUCUACAUUCAAACGCAGUGCAAGAGAUAGCGGCAUAUGCUCUCAUCCCUCCCCAAUCCAAGCAGCCCCGGGUCCAAUUUCCCCUUGCGCCGAUUUCCAAUCCAAGCAGACAGGGAGCUGCAGGCAGGCGGAGCCGGCUCAUGGUGGCCGUGACAUGACAUCCUAGCUUGAUUUGGUGGGGAUCUCGACGAGCCGGGGACGGGAUUGACGGCGGUCGGCGGUGGCGGGUGUCACUAACUCAUCCAGGGGAAAUAAGAUGUGCUUUGGAGUCGGAAGCAGGCCCGACUGCCCGUGCCCAUGUCCCGGCCGUGGAUGUUGAGGUGCAGGUCGGGUGGGAAAGAGGAGGGUCGGGAGAAAGAGAGAAAAUGCCGAGGGGAUUGAUCAGCGGAUGGAUAAGGUCCAAGGGUGCUUUGAUCUUUUCUUGUCAAAUUUACCGGUGUCACUUCACAGCAGUAUCAUAAAAGACACGGAACUUGGAACCGGUGUCAAAUAAGGAAGAUUAAAAAAUUCGGAAUUGAUCUAUUUCCUAUUUCCCAGCGUCACACAGGGAAUUUUCUCAAUAAAAACAGCGUGAUCACGAUUCACAGCUAUACAAUAAGAUUGAUGCCGACUCACAAGUCACAACUACAAAAUAAGAUAGAUGACGACGAGAAAACAUAGGCAGCAACUAUUUGUGAAGUAAGUCUUUAAGAGACCCAAAGCUUGUGCAACGCAUGCAGUUGGCCCAGAGAGGAAGAUUUGAGCGACAGACGGUACAUCUCUUUCAGCUUAGCAGCUUCUCUGUUGCUAGUGCUGGACUGGGCAACACAAGGCAGCGAUGCCGCCAGCAUCCUCUUCAGCAGGCUCUGCAGCUGGCUCCAGAACUUCGGCUUUAUGUCCAGAUCCACAUCGUUGGAGUAGUCUUCAUUUGCUUCGACCACGUGCCGGCCUUCCAACAAGUGACCCAGCGCGGUUUCAAGCAUCUGUAAGGAAGAGGCCCAAAUUAUGGGGAAAAAAAUCAAAACGAGCAUUUGCUUCUGGGUUACACUAUAAGAUGUACUGAACAAAGGUGCAAAUAAAACGUGAACUCAUUGCAAGAGACCUCAGCUGAUUUCUACCUAGUACCUACAGGUAAUUACGAUGAACUGUGAUGAACCUGUGUAAUAGAUUCUAGCCAGAUUUGUAUGCCGUAAAAAAGGGCUUUUUCAGAGUUUGCCCUCCAUGAAAUGGUUACUCCUUGGAAGAAAUAAAAUGUUGUUACUAACAAAAUUUCCUACCACACAACCAUAAUGGCAUCAUAUCAAACAUAAAGCAUAACAGGUAUGAUCCUUCUAUGCAUACAGCACUGCUCUGCACAAUAAACAUACCAUGAACUAGCACACUGAACAAGGCCUUUGAAUAGGUAAAGCCCUUUUCAAAAUGCCACAGAACAGUGACUGAAAUUAAUUCUAGAACGCUACCAAACCUAAUUCUAGCACACUGAAAAGCUGGAGAUGGAACUGGUAGCAAGACCUGGUGGAAAACAUACCGAAGUUGAGUGGAAAGAAUUUGAUAUGUUAAUAGUAAGAGCAGACUGCGCCAUAAGGAUGUUAAGAAACAUAGUAGGAUGUGUCUUCGGACCAUAAAAUUCUAAAGCCUUCAGCCAGUUCUUCUCCGCUCGGGAACCAUACCACUUACUUUUCUGACGAUAUUUAUCCUCAUUUUUUUGUUUAACCUCCUUGUCAACUAAAUCCAGAGAUCUUAAGCACAGAUCCCUCUGAUAACAAGCGAGCUGAAAAUGACCAAAAGCAGCUUCCUGUUUGCGAUGUUCACCAAGGGAUUCAUAAGUAGACAAAGCCUCCCGAAAAGCAUCACCCGCUGAAAUCUCUAGAACUGCUAUGUUAGAUGAGUCAUCAAUGAGUCCACCUUCAUAACUGUCGGUUAAGAAGCUCUCCCUUGCCAAAAGCAUUCCAAGUCUCAGGUAGGUAUGUGCAUACUGUGUAUAAACCUCAUGGAACAGUACUUUAUCGACUUCAGUAUUGACAUACUUCAGUUGCCUCUUAGCUGCUGAAUAGUAGUUUAUUGCUUGAAAAUAUUCUGACUUGGCUGACUUAAAGGAUUGCAUAUAUGUGCCUUCAGGAAGAUCAUACUUCUGAAAUUCAUCAAUCCUGGACACACAUUCCUCUGCUAAAGCUCUCCUACCAUGACCUAAGUUACAGUUGAUCAAUAUAACAUUUGUGUGAUCAUGGACAUCUUGAAAUGCUCUAAUAGCAUCUGCAAAAGCAAUCUCAGCACUACCCAGAUUUCUACUUUCAAGUCUACAACGGCCCAGUUCAUUAAAUGCCCAGCCUCUUUUCUUAAGAACAAUGGAAGUUUCUGCUGAAUGCACAGGAUAUGCGAACAAUGCUCCCUUGGCUGCACCGUAACAGUGAAUAGCAGAAGACAAGUUGUACUCAAUAUCUCCUGGUUUGGGACCACCUAGGAACUUGAAGAUACCACCAUCCCUCACAGUGGGAACACUUGUGUGAGAUUUUUCAGGAACACCAUCGACAUUUCCAGACUGAUUUUCCCUGGCAUGAUUGUAACGAUCCACAUCAUCAUUUGAUACUGAGUUGUUUUCAAUACAAGUAUCUUUCACACAAUGCUGCUUCUUUUCAGAACCUUGCAUUGCUUCCCGUGUAGUGGGUUUCUCCCCGUUUUCUUUAUAUUGUGAUUGGUGGUUCCUACCAAGUGUUUUUUUAUUUUUCUUUCGACCAUAGAUGGUGGAGGCUUCAGGACUACUGCUGCUUGCACUGCUGCCACUACUUGCCCUGUCACUUUGGCAGCUACAGUUUAUCAAAGAGCAUGUGCCACAAUUCUGCUUAUCCUUUCCCAGUUUUCUCUUAAGACGUUUGACCUCCAAUGCUACUUCAUUUGACAUUCUAACUUCAUCAUGAGACUUUUGUUUGUGUACCACCUUUGCUUGAUGACCAUUCAAUCUGUGAUAUUCUGCAUAGACAUCACCAACAAGCAUCCAUGCCUUUGCCCAAAAUAAAUAAUUUGGUGACAACCGUUGGGAAGAAACUUCAUAGCUGAAGCAUUUGGUGCUUUUGCAAUAGCCUGCCUCAUCCAGUACAAGUUUGGUUUUUAGACAAGCAUCUUCCCGACCCAAUGAACUGUUGGACAUGGAUGAGAUGAACUCAUCACCAUCAAGAUGUCCAGGCAUAGACCCAUAAACCAAACAAGCUAAUUCAACAACUUUAAGGGUGCGCUGAAGCUGACCAUCAUUCUUGUAUGCCUCUCCAAGUGCCAAAUAAGAUUCCCCAAGCAAGAGGACAAGUUUCCACAACUUAUGAUCCAUUUUCGAUUUUGGCAGCCACUCCCUGAUGUCACAGACUUCAAUACAAUCAACAUCACCGCAUCGGCAAGAAGAGAAGUCAACUGGCCUCUCCCAAAUGGUAUCUGCGCUAUCGUUGCAACCAUCCUGAGUGUUCUGCAGUUGUCGAUUCCAUCUAAGGGAUUUGAUAGCUUGAGAUAUAUGGUGUAUGGCAGCGAACUUAGAGGAGAUUGCAUCAGCAAUUGUAUUUGAUAUACCGGUCUGACACAUUACCAAGCUAUCCACAGAAAGAUCUUUUGUAACUGAAGAUGAAGAACCAUCAUCAACAUGGCUUGGUUCCACUGAACUAUCUGUUGUACCAGAAGACGCCAACGGUGAGCAUCCCAACAUAUUGUCUAACGCUGCUGGCUCAUUCUUGCCAUUCUCUGGCAGAACAUUUUGUUUUGAUGGUAAAUUCUCGAGUCUCAACUCUGGAGAAUCAUCAUCCAGAUCAGUAAGGGUAACUUCAGAUUCAAUCAUAAAUGAUUCAGAUGUCAAUUCCAACUCCUCAUAGCAUUUCAGGAUGAGCCUUGCAAAUUGUUCAUGAGCACAUGCCCGGACAACCUAGAAGAUAAAAAUUUAAAACAAAUAUUGGCAUAAAUCUACUAUUACACUAAUACAGUAAAAAGUUACAGAAUGUCAUAAAGAAUAGAAUACCAGGUGAUCCUGCUCAGUGAGAAAAUCCAAACAUUUUCUGAAGAAUUGUGCACAUUUUGCUUUGUUACUAGGCACCUGAAAAGCAUAUAUAAAGAAUCGUCCAAACAUUUUGCUUUAUUAAUAGCCAACAACAAGUAAGCAAGCAAAGUACAGUACCUUUGACAAGGACAUCCUGUGAGCAACACGGUAAAGGAGUUUACCCAGAGAGAACAAUGAAUCCUUUCUCCCCUUUUUUAUAAAGGAUGACAUAGGACCACAUGGAGAUCUAUGAUCACCAGCUGUAUGUUUUUCAGGUAAGAUAGACAGAUCAUAUAACUGUAUGACAUCUUCUUCAGCACCUUUGUACAGCUGAAAAACCAAAGGUUCAGUAUAAUGAAUGACAACAGGCAAGAACACCAUUGCUAAAAGAUGAGAUAUUCAGGCAAUACAAUCAAGGGACUUCAAUAUAACAUUUUCACAGAGCUAGGAAUAAUGGGGGGAAAAAUGACAUACCCAAUAUGCACCAGGGUCUUGCUUACAGUUAUCCCGAAGGAACCUCAGGACAGCGAGGCCAUUUUGCUGGACAACCUGUGGAUGAAAUGCAGGCGUGCCAUCAUCUGAGACACCCUUCAGUAGAAAUAUAUCAUCAUUCUUUAAAAGCUCAUAACCUUGAACAACACCAUUCUCAUGAUAACAUAUGGCCAAUUCUGGAACACUUGCCAUUACAUUGUCAAGCCAAGCUUCAAGCCAGUUCAGUGGAGUAACCUAUAAAAAAAUUGUCAAUAGGGGUAAAAAGGUAAAGUGUGUAGCCAUAUUCAACAGUAAUGAAAACAUACCUGUCUAGAAACAUCCCAUAGGUGCAAGCUGACUGCAACAUAUUUCUCAUUGCUAAAUAUAAGCAAGUCACUACCCAAAAGCAUAUGGAAAUUGUCGAAUUCCCAAAAGCAAACCUUCCGAAAUCCAUUGUUUCCCACUUUCUUGCUCUUCUCAGACUCUUGCACCUCACAGCUGUUUUUUUCACCAACACGAGUGGUUUUUUUGAUAGGAUCAGAUCCUUUGGCUUUUUGCUUAUUUUUCCUUGCUCCUAAGUACAGACUUUCAUGCGUACAUUGCGGAGCUUUUCUACUUUUACUAUUAUUCUGAUCUAGAUACGGUGAUGUGCUAAAACUAGAUGAUGGUGGAGAAUCAAAAGAACCCUCCCUGCAGUCAAAGGGUCCACGUAAGACUGCGGAUGCAGUUUGCUUCUCCUGUGAAGGCUGAUGACUUGGAGGGCAGUCACAAGCUUCUGCUCGCACAGAGUGCAUCGCGAAAUUCAGAAAAAUUGAUGGAUCAGAUCCUUUAGGCUGGUUAUUUUGUCUUCUGAAUAUCUUUUCACCUUCAUCAACAUCAGGCCUACAACACGAUUAAGCAUUGCAUUUGUAUUAACUAUAUUUAGCAUGAUUCUAGUGCAACCAACUACUUACCCUGUGUUCAGGAUUAGUGUUUUUCCUAUACGGUUCACAGCAAUGGAUACUUGUGCCUUGGAGUAUGGUAUUUUGAAAAUCUGCUUCAGAAUAUCAGCUGGGGCAAUCACAUCUAUUUGACCAUCAUAUUCUGCUAAACCUGACACAGCUAGUGCUUCGCACUUCCUCGAUAAGUUCUGGUUGACAAGUCCACCGUCAUACCGUAAUCCUGAAGAGUAUUGACGGGGUUAUAAAGGUUGUUAUAAGAAAUGAACUGUUACACACAAAUCUAUAUAAUGUAUCAGUACUGGACAGCUCGAAUAUGAUGUUGACCACAGGCCAGUAUUUGGGGUUUUUUCUCCCUUUUGUUGAUCAGACUAUAAUUAUUAAGGGUCAAGAGUGAUCACCUUCAGUAUUCUUUGCGUCAUUGGGAAAAACCUUCUCUGGGAUGUUUGGAAUCAUAGGGAGAGUAUUGAGAUCAGUCUCCAGUGGCAGCAUUUGAUACCUUGGAGCUCCAGUCCUGCAUGUUUUGUUACAACCAGAAUUAAAUAGUAAUUCUCUGAAUGAGAGGCAUUUGAAGGCAUCAUGAAGUUCCAUUGGACACGAACAGAAUCAUAAGAACUAGGUGCUAUGUUAUGUAUUUGCAUGGUGCUGUUGAUCAAACCCAAACAGACACACAUGAGUCGUGUCAGUGAGGUCCAAUUGGCUGGUGAAGUACAAGUGCAUGCAGAUGUCAGGUCUUGUAUUUUCUUUUCAAUAACCACCAAAGUAAAUCAACAAGAUUAAUUAAUUGAUUAAUUCAGUCUAUAGCCAAACAUAAAAAUUAAAGUGUUCACUUCUUGACCGAAUAUCAUGGUAAUCUCUCAAAAAAAAAACUUCUAUUACUUAUAUAUGGCAACAUUACCAAGCACAGCUGUAUCUGUUGUUACCACAUUGUAUAACUUGGCUACCUUGUAUAUUCUGCUGCAAGAACAGUCAAAUUAACUAAUCACCCAAUCAGCCGAACUAAGCUAGUCAUCUACUCGACUUUUGCAUUGCUCAAACCGGCAAUUGUGUCUAGGCUAUAAAAUGCCAAUUUUUUUUAACUAGCAAAGUAGGUUGCAUCCAUCCAUCAGACCAAUCGUGGCUAAACAGGUGAUUGCUAUUCAUUUCACCAUAAGCAUUCAAUCACCAUUUCCUAUCAUAACAACUUACGAACAUAAUAUGCAAUUGGCAACUUAUCCUCAGCAGUCAAUGGAAGCCUAUCUCAAGGGUUCUCUCUACCAAAAUCAGAAACACAAAUAUUUCUAAUUGCACAGCAUAGAGCGCGCUCAAUCCCACGCGUCCUAUCUCAAAUUCCCAGCCUCAACCCUAAACAAAAACCCUAAAAAUACAUCGAAACGCUUUAAACCCUAAGCAUCCGCCGCUCGUGAUUCAAAACAGGCCACUGGAGUCGAUCGGGCCCACAUCUAAAUGCCUUAACCGCGCGCAUGCUAUAAGCAUGCGCGCGGAGGCGAGAGUGGGGAGAGAGGGGCUUACGGGGACGGGGACGGCAGGAGGGCUGGGAGGGAGGCGGAGGAGUCGGUAGGCACGGGAAGGGAGCCCACGCGGAGGUAGCGCGCCGGCGGCGGCGCGGCGACCUCGAGCCGGCCCACGCACUGCAGUUCUCCCGGCGCGUCCAUCCCUGACCGCCGUCUUCCGCGUCGCCCCCGGCGGUUUAUGGGCGCUCUAGCACUUCGAUCGCCGCAGCUCUCGAGCUGUUUGCUCAGGGUGGUUUGCUUGGCGGUUUGAUGGGUUCGAGAACGCUCUCAGAGGCACUGGUACUCCACCAGUAGGAUUAAGCCGUGUAUAAUAAAUGUUCCUUAUUUUCUGAAAAAAUAUUAUAUGUUUGCAAGUCCUUCCAAAGAUAUUCCUCACACCAAACUUAAACAUUUUUCUGAGAAAUAUAAAAUGCCCGCCCAAAGAUAUGUUUGGAAAACUGAUUAUGUGGAAAAAUAUUUUUUUCUUAUGGCCAAUAUAAAAUAUAGCGAAAUCACCUUGUUAACCUAUUUAGACAAUUCAAAUCUAAGGAUGUCCCUGCCAAAAAAAAAAAAAGAGGCUAAGGAUGCCAUCCAGGAAAUAUAUGAUUUCUUAACAAUUAAAUUUAAAAAUCACUAAAAUGUUGCUACCAAGCAAAUAAACACUCAAUCAAACAAAGUUUAGCAGGAAACACAUUUGAUCGUUCUCAAUCGGAUGAGAUAUAACGAUCAAAUUGAUAACUCAUAAAAAUGUUGCAACGUAAGGAGAUUGGAUGUUCUAAUAUAAGGUCUGAUUUGGAUCCAUUAUCAUCAAUAGUUAGCUACUCCUUCCAUCUUAAAUUAUAGGUUAUUUUGGUUUUAUUAGAUCAUAGACUUUGUUAUGCACUUAGAUAUACCCUAUGUUUAGAUGCAUGAUAAUAUCUAUGCAUCUAGAAAAAUCAAAACGACCUAUAAUUUGGGACGGAGGAAUUAGCUAAUAGAUGUGACUAAAUAUUAGGUAACUAUAUUAGCUGAAUAUAUUUAAUACUAGAGGCGAAUCUAGCUGUGGGUCCAAGGGGCUCAAGACCCCUACCACCCCACAAAUAAAUGGAGCUCCCCUUCCAUUUUCUAGGAGAAACAUAAGAAGAAGGGGAAAGAAGGGUAGAGAGAGGAAGAACGGAAAUGAGUUCCACUAGGGUCCAUGAUCGCCACUCUAUAACGUUCUAUCUUUCUUUCACUAUUUAGGAGGGUAUGGUUAAGUGAGAGGACAACUAAUGGGAUAAAAAUUAGCUACUCCCUCCGUUUUAAAUUUUAGUUCGUUUUGAUUUUGCAAUUUAGAACGGAGGAAGUAGCUGAUAUAUUAGCUGGAUUCGUUUGAAUUUAUACGAGCUAACUAUCAGUUAUAUGGAUCCAAAUAGGCCCAACCUCGUUUGAAUUUAUACGGGAUAACUAUCAGUUAUAUGGCUUUAUUUUAAGAAAAUAUAUAAUUAUUUAUUUAGUGAUAUGUGAAAUGCCUAUAAAAUGUGAAUUCAUCAUCUCAAGUUCAUAGGUAAUUACGUAUGAUGGUGCUCAUGUGUGUGAGCAUCACGUCUUCACCGUGUUUCUAAGAAAAUGAAAACAAACACUUCACCCUCAAGAGGGAUCACUAGGUCAAAGCCUAUGAUGAGUUGAAUGAAACACGAAUACACGAUGAGAUCUUGAUACUCUUUUCCCCCUUCAAAACUUGCAUUCCUUGUACACGAGCUAAUAAACACAACAAAUCCCUUUUUACAAUAAAAUUUCCCUUUUCACCCCACCGUAUAUAAUACAAAGUUGACCUGGCCAUGCGAGCCCACGGCCAGCAUCUCUACCUCUCUUGGUGCCUUCAAACGCACCACGACGCCGGUUCGUUUCAAGCAUACACCUUGCUGCAGACGUGCAGCGUCAUGCCAAUUCAGUUCAGCAGAUUUCUUGUAUCCUUAAGCAAUCUGGAUUUUCAAGAUCACGUGUUGCAGAACGUUUUUCUGAUUUUGGCAUUGAUUAAUCUAGAUUCAUCAUUGUACCCUUAAAUUGUCAACUCUAUCGAUCACAUCAAGGGCUUUUGUCCGGUCGAUCUCAAAGUCGAUCACAGGAAGCAGCCUCCUGAUUGAUAGCAACUCUUUCCUGUUGCCGCUGCUUGGUGAAUGACUGUUACUUUUGCUUAACCUGCUUUGCUUGUUAAGCCUCGCCUUAGUGUCAAACUCCUGGCUUUUGCUUAUACCAGGGAUGAAUUUUCUGUACUUGACAUCCCUUAGCAUAUCUUGAUCUUCUUGCGUCAGGAGAGGUGACGAAUUGCUGCUAGUUUUGUUUGGUGACAAUGUGAUUGAGGCCCCCCUUUGCGUAGGAGACCGGACAGGAGACUUGAUUGGAGACCUCUCACCAUUAGCAGUUUUGGACUGACUGAUAAGAUGAUGAAGCCACAGAACAAGCUCAAGGAUAUAUGCUUCAGUCUUGUCCUUGUCAGCAUGGUACAAUGUCUCAAUCCGGGUCAGGUCCAUCUGCCCCGUGGGCUUGCAGUUCACAUCUGACCUGCAUGGUGCAAAAGAUCAUUAUUUCAGUGUUCUAGCCAUUUGCUUUUUCUGUUAAAAUUGAACAAAGUCAGAUACCAACCCAGCAUUUGCCCAUUCUCCAACCCAACCAAAACCAUGGUGAGCCCUGGUAUGGACAGAUCAUCAUAAAUUCAGUAACAGAAAGGGAUGAGCAGAAGCCUGUAGCUGAUUUUGCAUGCUACAAAGGUAGUUUAGAUUACUUGGUGGUGUUAGUUGCAAUAGGGACAAGCCACCGCAAGGUCUUCUCCAUUUCAGCCUUGAUUUGAGAAACGGUAAGCUACACAAAUCCAGUAAAAGCUUACAUUAACUUUACAGUUACAUGUAAUAAACCUAGUAUCAUGCUGACUGCUAAAGCCCACUUUCAUUUUCUAAGUCACGGGUGCCAUCCCACAUACAGCGUACCUCUUCCUUGACUCCAAACGAAUGCAGCUUAGAACGGAGAGAUGAUUUUAUGGUAGGUGGCAAACUCUGGUAUAACGCAUCCCUUGUGUUUGGAGGAAUAGAACUUGAUCGAGAAACCUGCCAAAUGAUCAACCCUUGUUAGACUACCAGGAAAGAAACAAAAAAAAUUGAGUUUCUUAGCACAACAACAAAUUCAAAGAAAGUUGAGUUUCUAAGGACAGCAACAUUCAAUCUGUGUGGGCAUAAAACACCUAGUACUCCCUGAACUGUAACACUGCCAAAUCCUCUAUCCCCAUAGAAAAGCUGCAUUUUCUCAAUGAAAUAUUGGGCAGUGAUAGCUGAUAGGUAUGUGACAUUGACAAAAUUGCAUCAGUAAUGCAUGAAAAAAGUUUUCGGAUAAACAGAUCAAAUGACCUAUUAAAUUGUCUCUCCAAGCCACAGAAAAAAUAAUAAAACAAAUGGAGUAUAUGAACUUACAAGAGUAUCGAUCUGACUGAUGAUAUUGGCAUAAUGCAGUGCAAGGCCUGCUGGACCCAAUCUAUUACGACGUUUGGUAGGUUCCUGUGAUUCUUCAUUGUCUGCAUAAUGUAAGGGUGGCAAGCUUCAGUCAGUACUAAGUACAAUAGUGGUGGAGAAAACCAUCAGAGCAUUCAGUGCAGAAUCAUAAUAUGUUUAAAGUUUAAAUCAUGAACAUGGUUUUAUUUUGUGGAAGGGCCUCUAGCCUAGUGGUUAGAGCAGGCCCAGGUUCAACUCCCCAAGGGAGCGAACUAAACGGGGCUGUAUUAAAAAAGUUGCCUUGUCGGCUGUUCCGUGUUAGUAGAAAGUAUGGCGCAACAAAGGACUUUACCAAAGCACAAAACACAUCCCUGUAUAUUAUUUAAGGAAUAAGUGUUUAACAAGAUGAAUAUUUCAUAUACUUGGUAACCAAGAAAAUCAAUGGGCACGGUUGCUCAAGAGGGAGCGAGUGUGACCAUGCUAAAUGCCAGUGGGUUAGCUGGAUUUGUAAGAACCUGAAACUGAUUUGCUUGUGACCACCAGUGGCCCAACGAUUGCUAAAAGAUCAGGCCACCCACUUGGCGGAUAUGCACGCAUCGCGAUUCACUUGGGCUUUCGCCCUCACUUUAGCCUAAAGGAUAUAAGCUAGUGUAACUCAUUUAGACUAGCAGUGUCGUUCUAAUGCCCAGCACCGUGCACCUAGAUCAUGGGAGAGCCACUUGCAAAUGUGGCAUGCAAUGAGGGUGGAUGCUCUUAUAUCUGUAGCACCAUGCAGCCCAAAGACCACUAAAAGCCCAGCCCACCCACAGGGCGGAUACACAUGUGUGACAAUUUCUUCAGCUUUCAUCCUCACUUCGCCCUAAAAUAAGUAACCUGGAGGUGCUAUGUUUUAGGCUGAUAAGACAUAUAAUCUAGUGCAACUCAUGUUUGACAGGCAAGGUGGUAGUAAACAGGUGGGGUGUUACAUUGAUUAUAAAAAACAAUUUUGAAGUAAACCUACAGUCCUAGUGCUUUUAUUCUAGGGAGUAGGGGCACUACAGUGGAGAAGGUCAAACUGAAGUAUGACUUAUGACACAUUAGUUGGGUGAGUUAAUUAUGUAGCUCAGACUUGCUUUCAGCAAUAAAGCAAUCAAGAAAAUAAACUAGCCAAAAGCUCAACAUGUGCAAAAGUUUCAUAUGAUAUAAUCACUAAGCUUAUUACCUGAACGCCCAAAGGCAUUAUGGAUCUCCAAAUGUAAGAAGUGCACAAUGUCCACAAGUUUCCCCAUGACCUAGGAGGAACGGAUAAUAUGUUUUGAAUUAGUAGAACAGGAUUGCAUGCUUUCCUAGAGCUAAGAGUUGCAGAUAUUAUGGCAAACAUUGACUAUAGAUGUGUAAUAAAUGAAAACAGAUAGACACUAAAAAUUUGACACAAAUGAAAAAAUCCAGCCUUCAAUUCCGUGGUCCCUUUUUUUAACUAGCCAGAUUGGCACGCAUAGCGCGCCAAAAACCAAAAAGAUUAACCUAAAGUAAUAAUGAAAAAAUAUUGUCUACUACUAUGCUCAAAACAACAUCAUAUUGAUGUAUUGAACCAAAUCCAAAAGCUACAGUAAAUCGGCAUAGUAGCUCAGAAUCUGAGAGCGCACCAAUCCCAGGCAUUAUAGUAUAGAGGCACAGAUAACUUUUUUUGCUUAGGAAUUCACUCACUUUUGGGUGUUAGUAGAUAUAGCUCACGGAUUGGCUUACACUGAUUAUUGGUUUUGGUAGGGGCAAAAGAUAAAAUUAGAAAUGAAUAAAUAAUUCAAUCAUAUUUUGAGUUUAUGAAGUAAAAGCAGUGCAAAAAGUUGUAGGGCUACCACAUGUGAACGUAGUGUACAAAGUUUAGUUAUUGUUUUUAUAUAUCGGAAAUAAUUAAAUAUAUUUUAUUCUUUCAAAUAAUGGAAAAAACAUAAUUUUUUUAGAUCAUGGGUCCCACCAACCAAGUGCACGGGUCCCACCUGAAUAGUGCGUGGGUCCCACCUGAGUGUGCGUGGGUCCCACCUGAGUGUGCGUGGGUCCCACCUGAACAGCUCCCACAUGGGUCCCACAUGAGCAGUACGUGGGCCCACAUGGGGUCACGAUUCACGAGAGGGCUCUAAAGCCAGGCACUUUAGUAUAUUACAUAUACUAGUAUUCAGGGUUGCAUAAUCAGCAAAUAUCUAAAGGUGUGUAAAGGAGGUGCAGCACCAUGGUAAGGAGCCUAGGAGGACACGUGCAACAUGGAAGAGGGAUGCUAUGAGGUAAUUUUUUUCUCAUAUGUCACGGCCUAGGUUUAUCCAGGAAUCCGGAAGGAAGAGGAAGCCGGCAGUGUGAGAGAGAGGAGGUGGCGGCAAAGGCAUGGAGAAGACAGUGGCGGCAAAGAGAUAUGAGAUCAGAUUGGAUUCCUUCGUUCAAGGAUGGACCUAAUAUUGGAUCUUAACAGAUCGGAUCCUAUUUUUACAAUAUGGAAGGUUUUACAAGACUCCACGGGCAAGUAGCCAGGUAAGGGACACUGCUGCAGUUCACAUGCGCUACACAGUACUGGGUCACUGGGCCAGCAGCAAGUCCUUGGGCAGGUAUAGGGCCAUGCCAUUGUUGUUUUCUUUGUUUCAUAUUAUCACAUGAACGAAAUGCAUAAAACUAUAGAAAGCACUGAUUGCUUAUAACUACUCACAAGGCUUGAGUAGAGGGAGAGAAUAAAAACUUCUACAGACAAGUGGCUCCUGUGGAUACUCUUGGUGGCCUUUUCUAAAAUUUUUGGUGGGUUCAAUUUAAGUUUUAGUAUAGAGUAUCUAUUAUUAAUGUCAUCAACUAUAUAUCAACUAAAAUCUUAAGACUACAUUGUUAAACAAAGCUACAUAAUCAUGCGAGCAUAUUGACCAGUUAAAAUAAAGCUACAUACCAACCUCUUCCAAAUUUUUAGACCAUAGAGACUUUUUCCUCAAACUUUUAACAUGCUUCCGUUGGCUUUUCACUUCCUGCUUUAAUAUAUGCAAGUUAUCACCUGCAAAUUAACAGAACCACAUUCUGCAUCAUACCGAAUGACAACAAUAAAACAGAGAAAAAAUUUCUACUCAUGAAAAAGUUAACAAGCUGAACCAUUAAAAUCUGUUUUUAACACGCAAUACCAAAAGAAAAGGAGAAAAGAGGCUUGACGUUACAACUAAGAUCCAUUAAAAAUGAAUAAAAUAGAAUAAACUGCAUCAGUAGCAUAGAAAAGGCUUAAAUGGCUAAAUAUUAAGCGACCCAGAUAGCAGCAGUAAUUGUACACUUCUGUUUAGCAUAAGAGAACUUAAUUGUACAGGCAGUAAAAUUAAUAUGGGAAUAGGUACUGGAAAUUGGAAAGGAAAAAAAAUUCUCCCCUAGGGGCUGUUCUAAUUCAUAACUCAUGUCCAUGUUAACAAGAAGCAAAUACAAAUCCAGCUGUGCCACUGACUAAGUGUACUUUAAAUCUACAUCAUAUCAUUAAACCUUAAGCACAACCUUCUAUAUUGGAAUUUCAUUCAGGUCGACUUAAGCAGAACAUAAUUUGACUAUAUUCCUUCCUCAAAAGAACAGUUAAAACAAGUGCAAGAUGCAAGGGGGAAAAAUGGCUGCUUCGGAUUUAUCAGGUGCAGUAGAUAUAGUCAGAUCAAUCAUCUUGCCUUGGAUAUAUUGGUCAAAAACUCAAAAUGCACUAGCUGCUGCUCACCUAGCAGCAAUUAUACAGAAAGUUUUUUUUAGUGGAAUUAUACAGAAAGUUGACAGUGAUAUAUGACAACAGAAGAGACCUGGACCCUAUUUAUGUAUGCAUAGAACUGUCAAAGUCAAACUGACAACUUUUAUAAUAUCUUGUCUUGUACAAAAUUGGUCACGAGAAGACAUAAUUCAAUCUAAAGCUUUUUUUCCAAAUGACCUCAAUUUUGUUUUUUUUUCAAGCUACAUUUUUUUUUCCAAUGAUAAAAACAAAUAACCAUGAGCAGCACCAACCAAAAGAUACAUAAAGUUGUUCUUUCAACCAAACCAGAGGAGCUCAACAGAUGCAAUUCUUACAGAUGAUUCCAUUAUAUAAUCAUGCAGAAUGGACUGACUCACUGACCUCUUUGUACAACACUCGAACCAUCUUCUUCUUGAUGUUUUCGCUGAUAAUCUUGUUCAAAUCUAUCCAAGGCAUGCAUUUCGUGAUAUAAUUCCUAAAAGAUGGGGGAAAACAAUAAAGACUACAUUAAACAAUCCUCAUCACAGGGCAUUGCUUCCAAGGCAUAGAAAUAUUACUUACAGCUGUAAACUGAACACAAAUCACCAAUUGCUGCAUUACUGAUUCUGCCUCUUCUUUCAAGUGAUGUUGAGGAGUCCGUUCUGAUGCCAGCCUGAAAGAGUUUGAUGCAUAAAGGCACUGAGUUAAUUAUCAAUACCCCAAGAUUGUUGCCUCUACCAAAGGCUGGGGCCAAAAUGAACUUUACUUGUCAAAGUAGCGGUCCAAGUUGUGCCACUGAGGAUCCUUGCAACGAUUUCCAAAGCGAACAACUUCUGUAGAGAACACUUUCAACUCUUCCCUAUUGGACCAAACAAAACUUAAGUAACUGCAGGUAUAAAAACAAGUUGAAGUACAAGUUUACAACAUAACCUGGUUGAAGUUACUAAAAUAAAAUAAAGGAAUAAGCCCAUUUUUCACCCCUCAUCUCUUCCAUUUUCCUAAUUCUAACCCUCAACUAUUGUGCCGUCUAAAUUUAGCACCUCAACUAUCAAUCCCAUUCAACUUUGACCCCUCCGCACAUCUGAAGCUGUUUUGCAUGACUGUGACAUGGUGGUGGGUUUUCCAUAUCCAUCUUGUCACAUACUCCCUCUGUCCCAUGAAAACUGCAAUUCUAGCAUUUAAAAAAAAAUCCCACAAAGAGUGAAAUUCUAGAAAUUGGACCACAAGUAGGGCCUACUUAAUUACCUUGCGUGCUAAUCAAGUGGCCAAAACAGAUUUGCCAGCCUUAAUUACCUUGCAUGCCGUGAUUUAAGCCAGCAAAAAAGGAAUGUAGCACGUCUAAAUAGGUGAAGUCGGCUAAUUUAUAAGGGUACCAAUGUCAUUUGACAACAGAACUAAUCUGCUUGGGAAAAAAAUUACAAUUGCAUUCAUCAUGGGGGCAGAGGGAGUAUGCCACUUCAGCUGUUGACGUGGACUUGACUUAAAAGCCAAACCCCACCUUGGUCUGGGCCCGACCUUUUUUUUUUCUUCGGCACCAAAGAUGGAUUAUGGAAGGCCAGUCCACUCGUCGCUCGCAAUCUUGCCCCAAGAGUUGGGACUUAAAAUUAGAUCAACACAAGCAUUGACGGGCCAAAAAAUGGACUUAUUCCUAAAAUAAAUAAAUCUUGCGGACAACUGUUGUAGUUUAUAAAAGCAGCAAAGAUUGAACACUAACCUUUUGUCAGCAGCAGCAAUCUUGAGUAAUUCAUCCAUAUCUUUGGAUAUAAGAUUCUGAACACCUUCUGAGUGAAGCACAGUUUCUUUUAAAUGCUUUAUGCUAUCUUUUGAAAGGGCACGCAUCAAAUUGCAACCUUUGACUAUGGUAUUGGCAACCUCAAAUGCUAAAAUAGAUAUUUUGUUUCCCUUUGUUGUAGUGCUCGAUCCAAAACCACUUAUAUUCAAAUUUGUCAUGCUACUGCCAAGUGUGUCUAGCACAUCCACUGCUUUCCCAAGGCCAGCAGUACUAGCUCUACCUAGAAUUGAGCUUACUUCUGACACCUGUUUCAAUAUGGCAAGAAAACAUGAAACAUGAUACAGGAGCAGGCGGUCUUUCUCACCAAGCGACAUUUUUUGAACAUUUGAAGGACAAAAGUCAUGAAUAAACAGUGAAAGGCAAAGAUUUCUAUUUAGGAAUGAUACAAGUUCAAAAGGAUUUAAAUGUUUCCUACAAUGCACUUGGAAAAUAGUAAGCCAUAAAACUAUGGCAGUGUGGCGAUAAGUAGCAAAAUGCUAAGCAUGGAGAUCAACACAUCAUAACUGCAUUGGAUUUGAAAGAUGUGCGAUCAGCCACUCAAAAGCAUGCAGCAAUUCCCACCCUAUGCAAAUAUAAAGGGGAUAAACUUUGAGGGCCACUGGGUUGCUAAAGUAGACUUCCACGGAAAAUAGGAUCAACAGAUAACAGCAAAUGCUUUUGUCACCAAGCGUUUCAAGAAAACUUGUUAAAUUUUGUGCAAGGAUGCUAGGAGAUCAUCCACUGAUUCAAGAUAUCCUAAUUCCUGAAAGGCUAAUGCUACAGGAAAAAGAAUUGUAAAAUUCCCCAUGUUCAUAGUGCACUAAUCCAGUGACAUGAGCGAAAAAUUCAGUUCUUGCGUAGAUGACCACAAAUGAUUGAUUCAGCUAUAUUGGCAUAUUGCACCAAAGUUCACCGCAGAGUAAGAAGUACUGAAAACUUGCCUUAGCCGUAACCCCUAUCCCUGACUUCUGUGAUGGUAAUCGCGCCAGCUGUGGCACCCCAUCCCAUGGUGGUAAGGAGGCAUCAGCAGAACCUCCAGGCACUGCAGUUUGCGACACCGAUACAGGCAGCUGCUGCUGCUGAUGUUGCUCUUCUUGCAUCCUCUUGGCAGCGGCCUCCCCCACCACAGCCUUCUUCUCCUCCUUCACCACCAGACGGUCAUGGUGGUCAACCACCCUGCCGGGGCCGAGAGUGGUAUCGCUGGGCGACUUGUCCACCGCCGAGCCCUUGGAGCAAAGGCCCCCCAUUUCCUUCGCCCCUCCUCAACCAAACCCUAAUCCUCCAGUGCCAACCGGCGGCUCUCACCUCCCAGGCACCCACACACUCCUGAUCCCCACACAGCCUUCUCCCAUCCCCAUCAAACCGAUCCGCAUGAACACGAACCAGCUCGGAACGAAGGUCCCGACCGCGGUAGGAUCCUGCCGGCUCCAACCGGCGAGCUGCGCACCUGCAGACGCCACGGGAACAGCGCCAAGUCAGCAGUAACGCGCGAAAUUUCCGCGCAAAAGCAGAGAUUUUUCUCCACAGAAACGCAUUUUUACCGGAAAUUGGCGCGAGAGGACGCACCUGCGGCGGGUGGAUCGGCGACGCGGGAGGAAAUCGGGCGCGGAGCCCCUGCUUUCUCGCGAGGAAUUGGCGGAUUUGGGGGAGGAUAGAGACGACGCGAUGGGCAGGGUGGGUGAGCUUUGCAGCUUCUUGCCCUCCUUUGGAGGAGUAGAACGGGGAGCAGCCGAGCGGAGCGUCCACUCCACCAGCGGAGCUGCGGCAAGGGAGGGUCCAGUCCACUGCACGGCAGGCUCCGCUCCUCGAUGGCCAACGGCCGCUGCUACUGCCACCCGCAGGAGGAGGCGCACGCACAGCAACGGCCGCUCAUAACGCGGUGUCGCAGCGGCCGUGUCGCCGUCCGUGUGACGCAGUUAUUAAGAAAGAGGUUAGCAACUGUAGUAUUCAUGCCAUCUUAUUUAUUGUCCGCGCUUCACCUGAUAUUUUCAGUGCAUUUGCUUCGGAUGCAAUUGGAUUCAGCAAACAUUUCCUUUUUCAUGGAGUUGAAGCAGAUGAUUUUCUCCCUCUGUGAAACUUUGACUGAAGAUGGAUAUACCUUAAAACAGUCAAAGCUAUAGCUCGUCGUAUUGAUUAACGCCUACUAUGUUAUUUUAACACUGAUUUGCUAUGAUAUACUCCCGUGAGCAUGUGCAGCGGUGACUUGGAUCGUCCAAUUGGUUUCUUUGACUAGCACUAAACCUGUGUCUUAAAAUAUAGCUGCUGUCAUGGCAUAAGAUAUAUGCGAGCAUCAAGUAUCAGUGCUACGUAAUCGUAUGACUUCCAAAAUCCGUCUCUAUUUUUACGAAUCAUCAACAUCACAAUGAGUAUCUUAUAGUAUCCAGAACAGUUGAACAGCUACUUGCAUGGGUUGUUGGAGGUUAACCCACUGCAAUGAACCAACGCAUUUCUCAAUUAUCAAGAAAAGCGUGUAUGAACACUUGCAUGAGAGUAGCAGGUUGGAGUGUUGGGGCAAGCAAAAACCUGAACCAGGAUGGACUUGCAGCAGAACAAGAGAACAAAGACUCGGUAUAUUUGUCAUUUGCGGAUCAUGUGGCCAGACAGAGAGUAGGAUGCUAAUCUACGGCUUAGCCGAAACCAGGCAAGAUUUUAAUGCAAGCUAUCGAUCUACGGUUCCUAGUCAACUUGAACACCAACUUUUCUGCUGUCGUUUUCUUGUACCAGGUCAACUUUCACACAGCAUCCUUUAAUUUGUCCUUGUAGGGGGGAAAAAUAAAAGUAGGUGAAAGGAGCCCGAUUGUUUCUAUCUGGUUAUCCGUUACACUGAUUAACAGCGAUGGAAUGCACUUCUGCAAAUUACAUAUAUUUACUUCUCUGUCAAGUGCUGAACUUGUAGCUCAGUUUGGUUGUUGGCAUACAGCCUAUAAACUUAUACAGGCACUGCCAGUAGAAGUUUCCUUGUAACGCCGACAUGUUACUUUCCUGAUUUACCACUUGUGUAUGCAUGAAUUUCACAGAAAACAAGUUCAAUUCUGGUAGGAAUAGGAAUGCUUUUCCCUGUGUUUUAAAUGGGGUAUGAGCGGAUGCAAGACUACUUGUUCGCCGAAUCACCUGUUACACACUGAAACUUUCUUUGUAGCGCGAGAUAUUGAGAUCUCAGAGUGCACUACUUUCUGGAGAGAAGAAAAAACAGGACAAAAAGAUUCACCUUUUGAAUUGAACGGAUAGAACUAAAGUGAUCUGAACACACGCAUGGUCAGUGAUUCCAAGCUUUAGAUUGAAGCCUUCCGUUUGUCCCUGCUUGUGAGAGCGAUGGAUUUUGACGAGUCUGAGCAGCAAAGUCCCAAAAUGUAGCUGUCUUUCUGCCGAAGUGCCAAUGACAUCACAGACUCUCAGUUCGGUGAAAAGUAGAGUUCACUGCAGCUGCUUGGACGCGACACAACUUGUAUUUCCAAACGAGGUCCCACAUGACAUGGAUGCGAUUGCAGCACAAAAACAAGCUAUUCUUCCUGUGUGCAUACCGUACCCUAUGUUGCAAUUGCAACACGAAUUUACUACUCGAACUCGGAUGGACGGAUCGUCCUUACCUACCACAGGGUAAUGAAGCUUUUGUAACCUCAGUGGUAAAGAUAAAAACAAAACACCUUCUUUGUCGUGACAGAGAUAGCAUGCAAGAGUUUUCCCGGUGAAGUAUGUAUCGGCACAAGGGUGUUCCCCGGAUAGAGCUACCUCCUCCUCCCGUCCGUGUCGAAUCGAAAUGACGAGAACGACGACGACGACAACCUAGCCUUCCAAUCCUAAAUAAAUUAAGGUAAAUUAGAGUUGAAAUCCAACAAGAAUCACAAAUCAGGAUUUGGGCACACAAAUAGUUAUUUUCCAAGCACUCUUAUCCAGGAUUAAAUCUUUGUGUAUAUUACAUCCCUUCAAAUCUCCUUUUAUUGCCUCUUACUAUGUCAAAUUUGAUCUUCCUCUACCUCUCUUCACAUUAUUGUCACGCCUUAGUAUUCCACUACGCACCGGUACCUCCGGAGAUCUUCGUUGGACAUAUCCAAACCAUCUCAGCCGGUGUUGAAUAAGCUUUUCUUCAAUUGGAACUACCCCUAACCUAUCAUGUAUAUCCUCGUUCCGGACUCAAUCCCUUCUCGUAUGACCACAAAUCUAACGCAACAUACGAAUUUCCGCAACAAUUAUCUGCUGGAUAUGUCAUCUUUUUGUAGGCUAACAUUCUGCACCAUGCAGUAUUGCAUGUCUAAUCACCAUCCUAUAAAACUUGUCUUUUAGUUAGGUCGAACGGAAAUGAACAAAGAGGAAACGAUCAAAUCAACGGCAGACUCCCAGGACAAUAUUCCUUCCUUGGACCUUUGAUCGCAACCGGCUGCUAAAGCCGCGACACAUCUCCUCGCGAGAACAGCCAGCCAGCCAAACCCCUUUGAACCGGUCCUCGCGCUGAGCCCUUUGAACCGGUCCGGCAUCGGCGCAGCGCUUGGCAUCAUCAGCGGCUGCUGCAACGGCGACGGCGUACAAAUACUAGGUCAAAAGCCAGCACGGCAGGCACGCGGCCCAUGGCAUCGCAUUAUUGCUGUGUCCUGUGGGCGCGCCGCAGACCGAGUCCAAAGGGCAAGCAGAGAGAGACCGAUUGGUUUGGUUGGGCUCGCGGUCGUGGCGUCCUCCUGCCGCGCGCGCGAUCUUGACGGGCUCGGUGGCGAGGGAUGGCGUGCGGUGCGGCCUACUCGGCGGCGACUCCACGUGAGGCGUGGGGUGCCCGGCCGGCCUCCCCCGUGCAAGCCGGACCACUCGCUCGCCGCCAGCCUACAGGUUGACUUGGCCGCGGCCUGCACCUGCAGGCCGUGCAGCGACUUCAGACCACGCGGGAGAUCGCCCACGUACGUAUUACGUAUACGCUGUAGCACGGUAGUGGUACAGUACAAACACAGGGGGCAAUGGCGGCACGGACCGUGCAAUGGAAUCUCGAUCGGACGGCCACGAUCGCCGAUGGUCGAAUCUCGACCGGACGGACCCGAAGGCGAGACGACGCUUCUUCUCCGGCUGGAGUCCCCCGCUCCAUGCCAAGCAAUUCUUUCUCCGGUUAUCGAGUCGCCAACUACUCAACGCAGCCGGGGGAAAUUCGUUGUCCGGCCGGACCGCCGCGCCGGAUGGGGCACGCCAUUCGUUUUCCAUGCAUGGACGUACUUGGAAGUUGGGGCUUGGAAUUCCAGCGACCGGCAAACUAAAAAUUUGGUUCGUGGAGACCAUAGCGAGCGCCUCGUCGACAUGGCGUUCCUUUCAUCGAAAGGGACGGUCAGAGGACCAAAUGCUUCAUCCCGCAGAAUAGGGCUUUGGAAUGUUGUGAGAUGAUGGCACGCACAUUAUAAUAAAAACGCAUAGUACGGUUGCCAAGUAGAGCUACGAACUGCGUACUCGCUUAUACGCAUUCACUUGAGUAGGUAGGUUGAUCACCAGCCACAAUUUCUGGGUUCAAGCACUGAACCCGCAACGUACGAGACAUGUUCAGUGGUUCAGGCCACACGGCAGCAUGAUUUGCAAUGGCUAAGGUAGCACCACACCACAGCGCAUAAAAAUCUGGGCCGUCAUAAGUAAACCAGAGAAAUGAGAUUGUGCUGCAACACCACAGAUAAAGCACAAAGUUCGGCAGAUGUGAAUUGUGAAGCCACCCCAAAUAAAGUACUACCAAGUACUGUUACGAAAGCAGUUCGAUCACAUUUACAGGCAGAGUUGAAUACCAACUAUACAUUGCACGCUAGCACUAGCUAAAACCCUAAAUUUGCAAGUAAUCUUUACACAUUUACAAGGUCGUCAGUUAAAAGAUCCUAUAUGUUCUGCAAUCGAGAUGUGUUGAUGGACCACGUGAAUUCAGGUCGUGGGCAGAAACUGAGGGCAGUAUGGCACGUAAGGUGUUAACAAACCCUAAGUUGAGAGGAAGGAAGACAUUGUCCUCCUGAAAUCAAAGGACUUCAGAGCUGAUUCUGGCAAACGGCUGCUUCCAGGUACCCACAAACCACCACUCUGGGGAAGCAUAAUCUGCUUGUUUACACUCUUAUCACCAUCAAUCGUCUCUGCUGUUGAAGAUUCCUUCUUUUUCUUCACAAAUUCAAAGAACUCCGCAACUUGCCGAGCGUAUCUUCAAUGAAAAUGUUGAAACGUCAAGGAUUAUUAAUGAUUUUAAAAGCACAUGGAGUUUUAAGACAAAAAAAUGCAUAUAAUUUUAAUAUGGAAAAUAAAAAUCAAGACAGAGCAGCCAAGUGUCAUCACCGUAAUAAGGGUCUGUUUGGUAGAGCUCCAUUUGAUUCUGAUUCUGAUUCUGAUUCUCUAUGGGAGCUGAUUCUUUGAGAGAAGUGAUUCUGUAGCUGAAAGUGAUUCUCUUUGAUUCUCUAGCAUAAACUCUUAAAAUCAGGAUGGAGAAUCACUUCACAGAAUCAGGAGAAUCUACUUUUUUUUUCAGCUCCCAGCCUCUUAGUUCAUUUCAGAGAAUCACUUCACAGAAUCAGCAGAGAAUCACUUCUCUUUGAAAAACUGUUUGGCAGAGCUCCUACUGGAUUCAGCAGAGAAUCAGCUCUGGGAGCUUUGGCAAACGCAAGGCCCCAUUUGUUUUAGCUAGGAAUUUUGAAAAGCAGCCUACAAGGCCCCUCCCCAUUUGUUUUAGCUAGGAAUUUUGAAAAGCAGCCUACAGAUCCUAGAUUUUGGAAAGCUGAGGGCCAAAAGCUGAUGGCUGUUUAGCAACAAGAUUCUAGUGUACGGCCUCGUUCUCUCUUUUCUCACUCACAUGUAGGCACAAUGGCAUAGUGGGUAAAUAUGUGUGCCAUAAUAUAGCAAAAGCCCUUUCAAAAAAAACACUAGCUAAAGCUGGUGGAGUGGAUUGCUAAGCUGGAUCGUGGAAUUCUGGGGUAAAACUGGUUUGUUUCAGCUCGGGUCAUAAAAGUUAGAAUCCACAAUCUCCAGCUGAAACAAAUUGGACCUAAACUUACAAGAAAGCUGACUCCAACAUGAGCUUAUUCUAUGACAGGAUUGGUCUAAAAAUGGGUACAGAAUUAAUUUAUGGAGCAAACUGUAUGUACACUUGUACGGCAGCAUUUCAAAGAAUUUCAGAUUAUGUAUGAAGAGAGUCAAUAUACGUUUAUUCAUUCAUUGUCUAAAGGAACCACACCUACUCUUCAAUCAAUUAGUUGUUAGUAAACUUUAGUGGGCUGGAUGUCAAGAACUACCAAGUUAGGGCCACACAAGAUGGUCAAGGAAUCAGAGCCACAAAAUAAACUAUGUUUUAUAAUAAUGUCAUAGAAAUUACAGAAAGUCUCUUAUGGAAACAUGAAGGUCAAACCUCAACCCAAAGAUAUCCAAAACAAUGGGCUUAUAGUUUGCACACUGAGCCUUCCAUUAAAACAUUAUACUAGCACAUCACUGCUCAUUUGCGUUACUUGUAUAAGCUCGUUCAAUUCAGAAUACACCAAUUUCAAUCUAUUCAGAAUACACCAAUUUCAACCAAGACUAUGUUACACAUGGUUCGUAAUUUCCAAAUUGAUUAGAAACCACUAGUUACAAAAAAAAACAAGUUAGUGGUUCUAGAAAAAGAACAAAUUACGUAAGUUUCAAAUUCGCGUGCCUUAAACGAACUUUUAUCUACAAGGAUUGGUGAACACUGCCGGAAAAUUAAUAAAACAUGGAUAAUUAUGAAGUAUGAAACUUACUGUCUUUUGGCUUCAAUAUCCUUGUUAAAAUCAAUGUCAUGCUCACAAUCCAAGACCAGAGCAGGAACCUAAUUGAGAAAUAGCAUCAUCCAUGUAACCAAAUAACUCCUUAUUAGGGCCUUACAGAACAUGUAAAAGAUAGGAGAAAGUUACCUUCUGGAUACUAGAAUGCAUGUGAUCUCCUUCCAAGUAGAAUACCCGAUCCCGUAUAUCCGCAGGCAGGGAACCCUCCAAAUGAACUGGAAGCUGACUGACUGACAAAACACCAGAAGCUCCUCCCUUGGAAGGAAGCAGCCAGCUCUCAUGUUUCUCAUGCAAACCUCGAAGGUAAUCAAGAGUAACACCACCUUCCUCUGAUCUUUUCCGCACCAUCAUUCUUUUGUGGCAAGUGUCAGGACUAGCUCUUAGAUAAAUAAAACCAUCAGGGAUAAGACCUGGGAGUGAUGACACAACAGGGUCAAACCAGGAGUCAUAGAUGCUGAUCUCCAUCUCAUUCAUCCAGUUUGCUUCAUGGACAGCACGAACAAAAACCUGGAAACAUCAACAAAACCCGUUCCUUAAAUAAGACCAGAUAGAUAAAAUAAAACAAGGUGAAAUGCAAAUUGCAUCAAAGCUUUGGACUCAUCAUCAAGAUAAAUUUUUUCAGCGAAGAUAGACCUACCAUUCGAUCACUGAAAACACUUCUUUCCAUCAGUCGGAGAGGUUUCAUUCCACAUGCAGAUUCCUUCUCUUGCAUGACCCGCGUCACAAAUACGUAAUUCUGGAAGGUGUAUGCAUACCUCUCUGGCUCAGCAUAGAAAGCAUCAAGUAUAUUGAAGUGUUCAGGGCCAACAUCCUGCCACUUUGCAAUAGGUUCAGGUACUAUUUCUACAAGGUCACGUAGUUCAAUAGUUUCAUUGGCUAUUCUUUGAAGAAAGGUAGUUUUUCCAACACUGAUAUUCCCUUCAACACAAAAGGUCAGCCUCCUAUUUUUAGGAAGCUUAGAUGUAUCAGUGCCUUUCAGCUCUUCAUCAACACUCUCUUUAAUGAACAAGGUUAUACUCUCAGCAUGGUUCUUGUGGAUGAUGCCAACUGAAUUUUGCAAGAACUCAACCAUCUUCUCGUUAGACUUGCCAAAGAACUGGAAAUACUCACAAAAUGUUAGCACUUCGCACAAAUUACAUUUAACUUAGAUUAAAUGAACAUCAUUCAGUAGAAAAAUUACUAGAAUAGCUGCAUGGCAGACUUAGAUUAAAUGAACAUCAUUCAAUAGAAAAAUUUACCAGAACAGUCACACUGCAGGGUUGCCAAAAUAAAGUAAGAGCAAAAAGUAGGUCACAGUCAACCAUAAAAGUUUUUUUUUUGCUGUUUUCUUGUAGGAACUUUACUAAGACGACUAUUCAGAUUUGAAUCCUGCACAAAUGACAAAAUACAGUUCUAACCUUGCGCCAUAACAAUCCGUAAUGUUUUGACAGGCCACGCAUAAGGAGAUCAUGAAAUUUGAAUAUUCAGAUUUUUUUUUCUCUCCUGAUCAUUUGUCAGGUUGGGUCGGGUUCGGAAAAAAAGGUUGGAACUUGGAAGCAAACUAACAACAUUUACAUUAUGUCAAUCUGAGGAUGGUGGCCUCACAAAUGAUAAUCUGAGCCACUUGAAAUCAGUUUAUCCCUAGUGAUGUCUGCUGGUGUUAAAGUCUAGUUUUGAAGCUAAAUGCAAAUUGAGAUAUAAUCUAGCUGUGAUAUGAACUAUUGCAAACGAGUGCAACAACUCACGCGCCUGCCAUUGAUUUUUCAUAAUACAGCCGUCAGCUAUUAAAUGAACCCAUCAAUUGCUAUUAACAAAUACGAGAAAUCUGCAUGUGCUACAAGCCUACAAACAACAACAUACUCCGUAGAAGAUAACCCAUGAUAUCUCAAACACACACCUUAUCCCUGUAGAGCUGCUUGAGCUGCGCGACGCCAUCGAAUCCCUUGUCGACGAGCUUCCUCAGGUUCCGCGGCCCGACCCCGGGAAUGGCAAGCAGCUCCCCACUUUCCCCCAGCGCAUCACUCCGACCUCGCUGCCUCCUCUCCGGCACCGCGCGACCCCCGCCACCCUUCUCCUUCUCCUCCUCCGCAUCGCCCCCGCGCCUCGCCGCCUCGGCCGAGCAGAGUCCCCUCCUCCCGCCGCCACAGCGCAGCCACGGCGGGGAGCGGAUGCGGCUAGGAUUCGCGACUGGACGCGAGGUUGCGAACGGGCUGCCGGCCAGGCACAGCGCAGGCAUGCGUGGGGAGGAGAGCAGCAGUGGGGCCGCGGCGGCGGCGUAGAGGACGGAGGCGGCGCGGGGGAGGAGCUUGUGCAUCGCUGGCUGCGGUGACGGCAGGGAAGGGUCUCAACAAUGGCGGUUCGGCCGCGAUUAAGGCCGCCGACCCGCGCGGGUGCGGCGGGGCGGCUUCGAGUGGCGCGGGUUUAGGGUUUUGGGGAUGUCACAUCCAUCCCGCCAUGAAUUAUUGUUGCUGACUUGUCGGGAAGCCCGGAGGGAGGAGGGCACGAGGCGGUCGCUGUCUCGCCGCCCUGCUGGCUUCGGCCCUGCACCCGGCUCAUUGUGGACCGGAUCGAUGAGGAGGAGGGCGGCAGUUGUAGCGGUGGGCCGGUGGUGCUAUGGGCCGCCACGGUACGUUUGGGCGAGGCCUCUUCGCUGGAGCAUGUGGGCUGUAAAAUGUGAGAACAGUUGGCACAAAUGUGUGUCUGAGUGGGCCGGUGGUUCUAUGGGCCGCGCUCGUUACGUUUGGGCGAGGCCUUUUCGCUCGAGCGUGGAAUGGCGGGAGAAACUUGAAGAAUGGUUCUUUUCCUCUCAAUUUCUCAUGAUAUGGAAGGACUUCAAGAGUUCAAGAUAUAAGGAAGAACAUGAAGAAUAGAAGCAGCUUACCUGCGAGACAAUAAAUCUACGGCGGCAGUGUAUCUGCGUAAGCCUAGUAAACUGUAAAUCUAUCGUAGCUGCCCUGCGCAUCAACGUCAGUCUGAAUAUGAACCCUGACGUCUAAUCAAGUUGGGACUGGUGCUUCCCAGUUCCCAGUAGCCAAGGUUGCAUGCAGAGAGUAGGAUUCUGAAGUGUAAACUCUGAAACCGCUACGUUCUCCACCUUUCCCAAUCUGAUUCUGACAGCAUGGACUGGGAGUCUAGGACCGCGAAACGGGGAUAAGAAUGGCUUCACGAUAUACAAAAGUGCAGCAGGAUUGAAAGGAUUGAAUUCCUGAAAUCUCCAGCUGUUUCAAGCGGUGGCCUCGCUGAAAGGGUCAGUCCGGUUAGGCGAGCGCGCUGACCAUUAGCGCAAGUCACCCGUCCGCACUUCCCAGUCGCGCGCACGUAAGGAUUCGGAAACCCACACGGCUAGCUCGGCGGAUAAAAAUAACAGACAUUUUCAAGCGUACCUGCGCACGUUAUCUGUUCUUGGGAGAGUCUUAACAAACUCGUCAGUGACUCGACGGAUGGCAGCGCGAAAGCCAUGGCCGAACCGUAACAUAUUCGACGAUGCGUAUAUGCGACGAAAGCAACGUCAGUGUAGCAGUUGAGCAGGUCAAACGGCUGCAAACGGGAGAUUCUUGUCCAGUUUGAUUUCUUUAUGCAGGUCAAUUGUUGCCUAAUUCGAGUAUUUUAGAGGAGUCAGCCAGGACUUGUUCUGAAUGCAGAGUUGAGUGGGGUCAUUAUUUAUACCCAAGUUCAUUGAUGGAACAGAAACAGGUGAAACUUAGAAAAUUUGUAGAUAUGGCUUGGCUGGUUUUUAUAUAUAUGAGAGUAAACUACUCAUGGCCUCAUGCUGAUUUCAGCGGCAAAGGGAAUCAGACGGGGUUGGCCCAAUGGCACGUGUGAAUGUAUAUGUCAUGCAAAAGGUUUUGGUCUUCCGAGGCGCCUAUUGGUGAGAUCAUUGCAAAGAAUGGAGUCGGAGAAGAGUGUUGGCAACAGCUGAAGUGGUUAUGGGCUACAACUAAGAAAAUUUCCUGACACCAGAAGUAGUUCACCAAACCGUACUGCACAUUAUUGAUUUUCUUUUAGGAAUGUGUAUGAACAGUUCCAUUCGUAGAUGAGAAAUAAAUGUGAGAAUAUCUUCAGCUGUGGAAUAAAUGUCUGCAAUGCAUUUGCCUCGAUGAAAUCAAUAGCUUACUUUAUCUCUUUUCUAUAGACGUACAGGAGUAGUAUACAAUUAGUUAGGUAGAGAUGAACUGUCACCCGCCCUGCAUACGUAGUGGCUGCUCUCUACCUGCAGGAUUCCAGUUAUCUGUUCGAGCCAACGAUACAAACAAACGCCAUCAGCGUCAUGCCAGUAAGAUGGGCAGAAGACGCCCUUCUAGCAGAGGAAACUAAUAUCGGCAGUGCAUUUCUGGUUCAGCAAAGAUUCCUGACCCAUGCUAGACAUUUGUUUUCAUAUUCAGUAGGAAGAGCAUCAGAAAUACACAACAUUAUCUUUGCCAAACCAUACGAACUGUGCUGUACGAUUCAGUAAAAAUAUAUUUCCCAACUUCUCCUGAACCUAAACAACCGCGAAUCAUCGACAGAGAUAGAGCUUAAUUAAUUCACAAAGAAUCAAAUAUAAUGCCGCAAGUUGUGAUGGCGCAAUCAGGUAGGUUUAGGCGGGAGGCGAAAAUGCGCAUGUAUAAACAAAGAAAAGAUUGGCAAGAACCACCACGGUUCGGUAGGCCUUAACAUCCUCCGGUGCUCACAUGAUCACAAACUGUAGCGUCUCCAUGUGCACGCAGGCAAGCAACAAAGACACAUGGUGUGGUUGCGACUUGCCAUUCUCUUAUGUCAUAUACGUAUGCGUCUGUUGCUGAUAAAUGUGAUGUAUGCUGUUCAAUAGUACAGUAUGAAAGUGUUGUUCUCUGGUAUCAUCCCAACAACUGUAGCGCCAUGCCCAGUAGGCGUAAGGUAGCCGGGUAGGUCCGUAGGUGUGUCUUAGGUGCGCUAUAGCAGCACAGUGAACUAUGCUUCAAGCUUAAGGUUCAAUACAUGGGUAUAUACCUAACCAUUCGGUCAGUAAUUUAUCUGGUAACAAGGAAAUGCAUGCUCGUGUGUUGUUUGUUUCUAACUUCAGUAACUAAUAAACAAUGGCAACGUCAAGAUGAAAAAGUCCAAGAUUCUGCUACCUUCCAGGUUCCAGCUAUGAACUGAUCAAAUACUAGGAGUGUGUAUUGUAUUACACUGUCACUAUUACCGCCUCCCGUUCACUACCGUUUUCUAUUACAGCAUGAAACGCUGUUUCCUACCAACUUGAGUUGAACGCGUAAACAACUUUACUGACCGGAAUCAGGUCACUAGCAGGUCCAAAUUGUCAGCUGACAACAUUGCUUGCUUAACAUGGCUAAGAGAAAACGUAUUCAACGGGGACCAGAAUCCGCUCUCCACGGUAAGUUGAACGAGUUCACUCGUUGGUUCUUGCAGAUCAGACAACGACACUCCUAUCAGAGAUGCUGAUGUCUUGGAGAAGUAGGUAGCGAUCAUUGGCGCACUGCACGUAGAGUUCAGACUUCAGGCUUCACAGACCCAGCUCGAGCACUUGGCCACUGACAGAGAGCAUAGAGCGAGUCAGCUUGGUUCAGUCCUUUUAGGAAGCCAGCUUGCCGAGCAACAAUGCCAUCCGAGUACCUAGUACAGUAGCAUCUCUCAUGCGAAUCGGCAAUUUUCGGAAGCGGCAAAACACCGUAGCCGCUCGUGCUCACCAGGAUUAAAACCUGGUAAGAGCUACGAGCACUGAUAUCUGAACCGGCAGAGAGAUCCUCCCAUGGUCCGAUUGCACGAAAUGAAAACGGUCGGCAGUGGGCACCAGGGAAUCAGGGCCUGUUUAGUUCCUAAUUUGGGAGUGUUAAAGUUGGGAUUUUGUCAUAAAUACGCAACUAUAGCAUUUCGUUUGUAUUUGUGAAUUAUUGUCCAAACAUUGACUAAUUAGACUUAAAAGAUUCGUCUCGCAAAGUACAACAAAACUGUGCAAUUAGUUUUUGAUUUCGUCUACAUUUAGUACUCCAUGCAUGUAUCGCAAGUUUAAUGUGAUGGGUAAUCUUCUUUUUCAUAGUGCCAAAGUUGGGAAUUUGGAGUAACUAAGGGCCUGUUUGUUUUCCACCCUCCUAAAGUUUUAGCUCCUAAAAUAUUUUAGGCAGUUUUUAGGCACCUCCUAAAAGUAUGUUUGGUUCCACCUCCUAAAAGUGACUAAAGGCAAUGAAUGAGUGGUAAAAUGACCAAGAUGCACCUCUCCCCCACCAACCCGCUACCCCUAUUCCCCUCCACGGUGUUCCCCGAGCUGAGCAGAGCCCGUCCGUCGGCCAAAUCCCCGGCCUCCGCUCCACCAUCUUCAAAUCGCCGCCUCCUACGGCUUCCUAACCCCCUCCUCUUCCUCCUCGACCACUCCUUAUCCACCGCGGUAGCUCCUGGCACCGGGGAUGUUAGAUCCCGCGGCCGCCAUUGCCGCCGGCCCAAGCUCGGGCGACCUCAGUAUGCGAUGCGAUGUGCGGUUGACUUGGCGCAGUCUCCCUAAGCUGGCGUCCCUCUCCUAGGCUCGCAUGGACCGGGCUAGUGGGGGACAAACUACGAAGGAAAGGGAAUGGACAAAGCCAUGACUUGAACCACGCGCUCUCUACUAGCAAUUCUCUGUUGCUGUGUUUGGUGCUAGGACACCUACGUCGGGAGAACUUUUUGUCACACGGCACGUACGUUAGGGGGUGUUUGGAUAGGAGCUCCUAAAGUGAGGGUAACAUUAGAUGUUCGGAUGUUAAUUAGGAUGAUUAAACAUAAGCUAAUUAUAAAACUAACUGCAGAACCCAUAUACUAAUUCACGAUACAAAUCUAUUAAGCCUAAUUAAUCCAUCGGUUACUGUAGCACCAUAUUGUCAAAUCAUGAACUAAUUAGGUUUAAUAGGUUCGUCUCACGAAUUAGACUUCAUCUGUGCAAUUAGUUUUAUAAUUAAACUAUAUUUAAUACUCCUAAUUAGUAUCAAAUAUUCGAUGUGACAGGCAAAAUUUAGAAGGGUGCACCACCUUAGUCCCAUCUGUAGAACCCCCGUCUGCUCCAUGGCUCUGCAUUGACCCUUCUCAACGACGCCAAAACCGGGGAUGGUGAAAGGCCGGCCGGAGAAAGGUGAAAGGCCGGCCGGAGAAAGGUGAAAUGCCACUGUUCGUCCGUGACCUGAUCAGUGUAUGGCAGCAAGUAUACGGGGUGCGCCAACUGGAGACCUCGCACCAACUACGCCCAGACCCGCCGGCACCGCGGCAGCUAGCUGCGCUAGGCCGACGGCGCCAGGCGGGGCACACCACCGGCUUCGCCCAAGCAAUGGCCAUGGCCCCCGCGCGCGCGGUUGGUGCGCGCGUCGCCGUCCGGCCCCCGCGCACAGUGUGAUCCAGGCGGGCGAGUGCGAGGGCGGAGAGCGCGCGGCGCGGGUCUGCUCCCUUGUUGGGACGCUCGCGCCCACCGGCCGCGCGCGUGGUGGGAGCCGCCGGGACGCCGGCCGGGGUCACGGGCCGGCGCGGCCGCAACUGCGCUAGCUAGCGCGGCCUUGACACCGUACCAACCCGGCCGCCGCGCGCGCCCGGGCACCAACCGAUUCUCGUGGUGGCCGACUGGGCGGGUGGGGUGGCGGAAUGGGGCGGAUGGGACGGUCGCGUCGCGCUUGCAUUGCAUGCAGUGGCGGACUGGCGGGGGGGCGGUGCACUUGCGCUCGGCGGAUGCGGCGGUGGUUCGUGCUUAAUUGGGACAUCCUUACUGCCUUUUGGCAUGCACUUGGCUGAAAGCUACGCGCCCCCGACCGGUCGGAUCCGGGCGAAUCCAGUACAAUCGGCCGGCCUAAAUCCACUGUUGUUUUUCCUCACCACCCGUGUCGGUUCCGCCUCUGCUUCUGCAGGACCGAUGGUGAUCGCACAUCCACGGGAAGGAAGAACCGACACUGAAUUACACAGCAAAGAUGCCAAGCUUAUACUGCGUCAUGUAAUCAUGGUUUUAUCAAGGGGCCUAACACUAGCAGGAAAGAAACCGCGCCACUAUAACAUUAUUAACAUUUUCGCUCAUGCCAAUAUGCUGCCAUCGCUGCACACACAAGCUGACAAGAGAGAAGACCCCCCCUCGGUUCCGUAUCUUUGAUUUUUUCCUCGCGAAGCCACGCUCCGAUCCAGCUGAUGCGACAAGCAUUCACUGCACCCUGCCUACUCUGUCCGUCCGAAUCCCUCCGCCCUCUGGUGACUGGUGCGAGAGAGCACGCCGGCAACCUGCAAGCCUGCAGGCAGGCGGCACGCGCUGACCUCACUGCCAAGUGCCAGCAUUCAAUGCGUAGGGGCAGAUUGGCCACUGUUCCGAGCCACUUGCUGAUCUGAGCUGAGCUGAGCAGUCAGCAGGCCUCGCCGCGGACUUUGUGGCCCUCUCGACGCGAUUGCUUUCGCUCCUUUUUUUUUGAGCUCGCGCACCGCUCUCCCGGCCCGGACGAAUGGACGAUCGACCUCAGCACGCUCGCUCUCCUUCCAGUCGUUUUCCGCUGCAGCUAGCUACCACCACGGCUGCCUGCACUGUUAAGUCCACUGGGUUAAAAAAAAUCUUCAAUGCACGCGCGGAUCCGCGCAAAGAUUUCCAGUUCCUAGCGGUAGAUAGAUGGAGUUGGUUGUUAGCCCGUGGUUGACACAAUGACACUCUUACUCAUCCCGGCCGGGUUAAUUUAGCCCGGACGCCUUCUGGAAUCUGGAAGUAUAUCAAAACAGAAACACGGAAGGGUUUAUUAGCUACCUUUUUGUCGCGAUCGGUCCCAACGAGACCAGCGACGCCGUGCCAGAACUCAUUAGGGCAGGGCGGUUGGAGUUGGCCGCUAAACGGUAAUCACUGGUGGUAGCUUAGUAGAGUAGCUCCCUCUCCUACCGUCGAGCCGCACUGUAUCUCAGGUCGCCGUCAGCGUUGGUGUAUCUCUCUCUCUAUCUCACACCGGGCGGCGUUUUCAUCAUGCCGCCCAGGGGCGUUGAGCGAGCGCGCGGAGCUGUAAUGGCGAAGCCAACGGAACUGUUGCCGCCUUGCCGGGCAUUUAACUCGCUGAAAACGCCGUGGAAUAGCCUUUUCGACCCAUGGUUCUAGCCUCUUUUUUUUCAAACGGCGUGCGGCCAGAGUGUCGUCGCUGUCCCGCCCGCUGCCCACCCGCGCUCUCUUUUUCGAACGAAUAAGCACGAGAUCUCGUGCCUAUUUCAUUGAUAGAGAAGGUUUGUAUAUCCAGCUAGCCGGAAAGAGGGUACCGUAACAAACACAAUUACUCACGAAAAAUGAAAAACGCUAAAUCUUUUACCCCCGCUACUACCCAUGCUUCGACUACUACCUUGAUUUUUGCAAAAAGUGCAAGAGGUAACAUUUCCUCUUAAUUGAAGAUCCGUCUGUUCCUUUCCUUCUAGACUUCCCACAUGAUAAGCAGGACAAUGAAGCACGUUCCAUUCCUGGGAGCUUGUGUUUUAGUAGUCAUGGUUAUCUAUCAGCCUAGGACGUUGUCGCUUGGGCGCUAGGCUAAGGGAUGCGAGUUUGGUUAUGCUGUCCAAUCCACCACCAGGCCCCGAAUCCUUUUGGUCAAUCUGCAUGCCCCAAUGAGGUGAUAUGCCAUCUCCAUUUCACGUCUGCAUAGGGUGCAUGAAGGGAAAUGUGCAUCUCCUGCGCGCUAGGCGGUCAGCCGUCCACACUCGGUUUUGUAGUAUUAACCAUGCAAAGAAUUUGCAUUUUGGUGGCGCCCAAGAUCGCCAGAGUGCUUUGCUAUGCGGUGCCUUUGUGGAGCUAAGGAACUGUGCUUUAUACGCCGAAGCCGGAGAGUACUUGCCGCUCGUAGUAAGUUUCCAUCGCAUUAUAUCUUCCUACUGUGGUUCCGGCCGCACCGUUGAUAUUAGCCGCCAUAGUGUCAUGAAUUCCUGUAGAUGCCAUGCCGUCAUGCCAUCUCGUAUGUUAAUAUCCGUGAUCUAAGUAUUUCCCUGCAAGGCCUCCACGACGCUUCUUUUUUUUCCCUUCUGGAUAUGGCGAAGAUGUUUGGCGCAAUAUCCCUCAGUCUACAGCCUUGCAGCCAACUUGAUCGCCAGAAGCUAGUCUUGUGACCGUUCCCCAUCGUGAUCGUCGUGCAGGCCGCGAAUAAAAGUCUGUCGUUGUCAAUGCACGGCGUUUCCAUUCCAACCCACACUUUCUGCGGCGAUUCCCAUUCAUGCCAUAGCCACCGUAGUCUGAGCGCCCUUUCGAACUUGUGAAGAUUUAGUACCCCUAAUCCUCCGCUUUGUUUUAGCAGGCAGGUUCUGAUCCAGUUUACCUUGCAUUUUUCUUUGGUCAAUUCUGUGUCGCCUGCCCACAGGAAUCUUUUCCUUACUUUGUCUAUGCCUUCGAUUACUUCUUGCGGGACCUUAAGGACCAUCAUCAGGUACAACGGUUUUGCUGUCAAAACCGCUUUGGUAAGGCAGGUGCGUCCCACUUGGUUGAGGUUGCGUCUGUUCCAUCCUGAGAGUUUUCCUGUUGCUUUGUCAAUUAAGGAUUGGAAAUCGAUCUUCUUUAGUCUUCUUAUCGUAAGGAGCAGGCCCAGGUAUCUUAUCAGGAAUCCUAUUCGAGUUAUUGGUAGCCCUGAUAGAAUUUGAUCCAUGCUGAUGCGGCCACAGUUGAUAGGCGCGACGCUUGUUUUUUGUAGAUUUGUCCUCAAACCAAUGCGUUGUGUUUUCCAUGUCUGUAGCUGUUGGUUUUAUGAAGAUCACUCCGUCGUCAGUGUACCUUGAGAUUCGUGCGUGCGUGGCUUGCCACCCUAAAUUGCUGAGUAGGCCCAUGUCGGUCGCUUUGCAUAUUAGAUGGUAAAGUGGGUCUAUCGCUAGGAUGAGGAGGAGGGGGGAGAGUGGGUCUCCUUGUCUUAGUCCACGACCGUGCAUAAUCGUAUCUGGGGUGCCAUUGAGUAGGAUUUUUGAAAAGCAAGUCGUGAGCAUCGCCGCAAGCCAGUCACGCCACCUAGAUGGAAAGCCUGUGUGUUGUAGCAGUGAUAGUAGGUAAUCCCAGCGCACUGAGUCAAAAGCCUUUGAGAUAUCCAGUUUCAUUAAUAAGGCCGGUGUUCUAUUUCUAUAGAAUCAUCGAGCCAUAUUCCUAAUGUAGAGGAAGUUGUCGUGAAUACUUCUUCCUUUGAUGAAGGCGCUUUGGCCCGACGAGAUUAGUGCGUCCAUAAAUGGGGCUAGACGUAACCCAAGGAUUUUGCUUAUAAUCUUGGCGAUGGCAUGUACCAAACUGAUUGGCCUGUAGUCUUGGAUUGUUUCGGCGCCCUCCUUCUUGGGGAUUAAUACUAAUUUAGCCGUGUUGACGAGGUUCAAGUCCCUGCAACGGAUGUUGUGGAAGGAGUUGACUGCUGCUAUGACAUCCCCUUUGAUUAUGUGCCAACACGAUUUGAAGAAGAGACCGGUGAAGCCGUCUGGUCCUGGCGCUUUGCUCUUCAGGAGUUCAGCGAUGCUGUGUAGUACUUCCUCUUCUGAGAAGGGGUUGUCUAGCGCUGGUAAAUCAACCGUUGGGAAGUCUAUGAUCUCCCAAUUUAGGUCUUUGGGGCGUUGCUUAGGUGGUUGCAUCAUGUUGUUGAAGUGAUCUUGGAUCACCAUCUUUUUAUCUUCGUGUGUUAGUGCCCAGCCCUAUUCCUUCUUUAGCCUCUGGAUAAAAUUUUUCCUUCUUCUGUCAUUUACUUUUAGAUGGAAGAACUUUGUGUUUGCAUCACCCUCGCGUAGGUAAGUGAUUCUGGAGCACUGUUUUUUCCUUGCCUUUUCUAUGGCCGCCCAUCCUAAUAGUCUCCUCUUUAACUUAUGGUGCACGGAGUAUUCUGCGUCAUAUAGUUGUCUCGUCUCUUCAGCCAUGUCAAGGCAUAGGACAACUUCUUGGGCCAUAUGCAGCUUAAGUUUGGCGUCUGAGAUGAGUGACCUGCUCCAUGUGCGUGAGCAGUGGCAUGCAGUUUGUGCCCUAGUCUGUGGAAAGGUUCUUGUAACAUCCGCAAAAAUCACAAACUUAAAUCACCCGUUAAAAAUAGCUUUCAAAACCUUGCGACCGUUGAGCUCCCAAAAAUCCCAAAACCUUCCCGGCGAUUUCGCCGUCUCGGCGCCCAAAGCCGACAGCCAUCAUUUUACCCCUUCCAAAAAAAUUUCCGCGUGCCGGUCGACAAACCAUCGCGCGUGCUCCGACCACGUGCCGCAAUCCCCGCUGGCUCUCCCUUUUAUUUUUCUCUUUUCCCCGAUUUAUUUUUCCCUUUUUCCCUUUCUUUCUCUCUCUUUCUCGUUUUCUUCCUUGUUUUCUUCCUUCUUCCUUUUUCUCUUCCCUCCUCCUUUCUUCUUCCUGGCGUUCAGCGCCACUACUUCCUGGCGCCUAGCACCAUUACUCCUCUGGCGCCCGACCCCCAGGUGCCCGGCCUCCUCCUGGCACCGGCCCUUGGCCCCGCCUGCCCCUUCCCCCUUUGCCGCGCCUGCGCCCGCUCUCCCCGGCACCAGCCCGCAGCGCGUCCGCCGUGCCGCCCGCGGCCGCCCCUCCCUCUGGCGCGCCCCCGGCCCCCUUCCUGCGCGCGCCCGGCGCCAACGCCGGUGCCGCUUGCCGCGCCGGCCCCUACCGGCCGCCGCCCGGAGCUCGCCGGCCCCCGCGAACAGCGGCUCGUCGCCUCCUGUCCCACCGCCGCCUACUUACCCAUUGCCGGCCGUCCGCUUCCCCAUCCUCAAAACUCCAAGGUAAGUAGUAAAACGGAGCCCCCACGGUCUCCUCUACCCUUUCCUGCCACCUCCCCUCGCCGCCAACGAGCCUAGGCCGCCGCCCUAGGUCGGCCGCCCCUUCCCCCAACUCCUCUGUCUCGGUACAGGGAGAAAGGAAGAAGAAGCCCCCAAAUUCCGAUCUAACCCCCACUUUUCUCUAUUUCGCGAAAUAACCCUUCCACCACUCUCAAGGACUUCUCACAGAUUAGCCCCUCCACCUCCAGAAAUAUUUACAAAUAAGUCCUUGGUUUAUCGCAGAUCAGUCCUAAAUCUCCUUUUAAGCCCCUAAUACAUGUUUAACUCAUCAUUUCAUGCGCCAAACUUCCUCCAAUUAAUCCCAAAUUCAACCAUGUCAUCCCCCAGUAUAUUUCCGCAGAUCCAUAUCCAAAUUUCCCAUAAAUACUCAUUCUACCUAUUUUUCGUUCGCGUUCUCUGUUCAGAGCUCAAUGGGUAAAAUCUUAUUUUCUUUUUAUUUAUUGUGUGCUCGUUUGUGUGUGCCGUAGAUCGCGGAGUACCCAAGGAGGAGCAUGAGGAGGAGUUUGACCGCGAGCACGAGCCCGAGGACCAGCAACGCGAGCCGGAACUCCCGGAAGGCUUUGAGGACGGCAAGUCCAAUCUCACCCUUUGAUGCAUAUUUAUUCCUAGUUUUUCAAACACAACCUAUUGGCCUAUUUUAUAAAAAGUGCAUAUUGUUUUAUUGCAAGACAUGGUUGGAUAGCCACCCUUGAUUGUUAUGAACAUUCCUUGAUUGAUCUAUAAUUAUCUCUAAAUAUGACUUGCUCUAUUUAGAUGAUAAUUACUGCUAGAAAGCUUAGGACCUUGUUAUUCAAAUUCAAUCAUGACUACAAUGGUUUAUUUAGAAAAUAAAUGUGUGAGUGUUUUCAACUGAGAAAAAAUAGGUUUUCGGGUAUAAAGGCAAGAAAUGCUUAGAUGAGGUGGAUGGGUGUUUCUGGUGUGAAAUACCAAAUUGUGGGCUCGUACCUUAGUGGUUGAGCAAGGUUAGGAGAUAUCCAUCUUGUCAUGGUAAAGGACCAAGUUGAUGUUUCAUCUUGCUUAAUUCAACCAUCGUGCAACCACUUGACCGUUGUAUGGCCAACGACCUAGCAUAAAUCCCACUAGCUAAACUGUUAGUCUUAGGGUGAGCUGGUGAGCAACGGGAGCCCAUGGAAAAGGGAUAAGAUCUUUGUGACUUAAGUCCUGGUUAAGACCUCGAUGGUAGGUCGUUAACCCCUUGGUUGCUUUCGUGUGGACUAGUCAGUCUUAGCUAAGGUGGGUAAUGGCUUUGUUAGGAUGCGCACCGGCACUAAGGUGAUCGUGUUGCGGUACCCUACUUGUGGGAAAAGUGUACAACCUCUGCAGAGUUAAAACCUAUCCGGGUAUCCGUGUCCACGGCAUUGGACGAGUUAUGGCUUGGUCACAUAACUAGCACUUGGAGAUGAAUGGUUUUGAUGGCGUGUGUUGGAUUUUGGAAGUGUCUGGUAGUUGUGCCGUGGGCUAUGGCGGACGGGGAGUCCGAUAGCGAUAAAAUUUGGAUCCUUUGUGUAGGAUCAACCCCACUUAUUGUUCGGUUACUAAAGGAAAAGCUAAAACUCUUUUAAAAUAAACGCUUGCAUGUGUUGAAAAAUCUAGCUUUAUUGCAAAUGAACCUUAGCCUUAUCCUUGCUAAUAUCUGUGCAUAAUCGUGAUUGUAUCCCCCUCCGUGGAUGGGGUUGGACUUGUUGAGUACUUUUGUACUCACCCUUGCCUCAUUGCUACAGAGGAAGACCCGGACUUCGUCGCUAAGGACUUCGAGUAGGAGGUUGUGUCCGCACCCAAUGCUACCUAUGGUAUUGGCCUUCACAAGAUGCUUUUGCUGCCGUGUAGUCCCUAGUGCUGUCUUUUGGCAGUCGCUUGGCUAGCCGCUGUUAUUUAUUUGCUUCUUAUCGCAGCGUGGCUUUCGCACACACUCCCUCAGGAGUUAUACGGUAUUUGAACUAUCUGUUGAAUAAAUGUGUUAUCAGCCUCCUGGGACUGAUAUUUGCAUCACAUUUAGUCUUCGCUGAGGUGUGGACGCUUCAGUUCCAUGUGGCUCGUCCACUUUGACCACUCCCGUGUGACUACAUCGUGGAAACCUGGAAGGCGUGUCCAGAAGUUUUUGAAUUUGAAAGGCGUUGGGCGUCGAGGUCCAGAUUGCUGCGCUAAUAGUAGCAGACAGUGGUCUGAGUGUGAAGAGGAGAGCGCGUGCAGUACAUGGUCGUUGAAGUAUAAAUCCCAACUUUCGGUGCAGAACACCAUGUCCAGAUGUAUUAAUGUCGGCUAGCGUCUAGCGUUACUCCAGGUGAAUUUUCUAUUCUGCAAGUGCAUUUCUUUUAGACCGCAGUAGUGUAGUGCUGAUCGAAAACUCCUCAUCAAACGGUGUGCCGUGUAGAUGAGAUUGAAAUCCCCCAAGACAAGCCAUCAUGUAUCGUCAGCCGGCUUUAUAGCAUGUCGGUGUCGUAGGAAGGCGGGUUUAGUAUUUUGCCGUGAUGGGCCAUAUACUGUCGUUAAGCGGAAGGAUGAUGCGCUGUGCUUGACCACCGUUGGGGCCGAGAUGGAGAAGAUACCAAUGUGGACAUCCUCUAUGUCGAUUACAAUGUCAUCCCAGAGAAUGAGGAUCCCUCCCUUUAUGCCUAUCACCGGUUUGCGGACAAAAUUAUUCAGGCGGUGUCCCGCUAGGAAGGUAGCUAGAGUUGCAUCUAUAUUUUUUAGCUUCGUUUCCUGUAGGCAAGCUAUGUGACACGUUGUUGUCGCUAGUGUUUCGCGCACUGUCAAGCAUCUAGCAUGGGCGUUUAGAUCUCACACAUUCCAGCACAUAAUUUCGAAGUUACCUAUCAUCUGGAUUCAUUUUAGUCGCUGACGGUGUUACCACAUGCAGGUGGUCUAUAAAGGUAGGCUACUGUAGUCGUAGGCGUGUGUCGCAUGCAGUUCUUGCCAUAAAGGUUCUAGACGGUUUGACGCGCGGUUCUCCCGAAGGUCAUGCCCAACAAGGCACGGUUUACAGUUCACAUGUUUUGCCCGAAGGUCGAUGCCAGCAGGGCUAGUGAGUCAUCCUCCCCGAAGGUCGCAGCCAGCAGGGUGAGGAAGUGGCGAAACAGUGCAGUUUUGUCGCUAAACAGGAGAUACAACACGUGCAGGUGAUGCGCAGAGGUAGCUUGCGUAGUGGGUAUCAUAGUGUUCUGCUCCUGCUGCAGGUCGUCCACGACAUCGCCCACCGUGCGUAGUACUACGUCAUUCAUCUGUUCCGCCGCAGCAUCAUCAAGUUUGAAGAAAGCAGUCAUGGCGCAUAUAAUGAACUCCAAAAGGGCUCCCUGGAACAUGCUGAUGAAGUCUUGCAGGACGCGCUCGAUGGGAGCAAACUCAUCAUCGCCGGUGCCAAGCUUCCUCCAUAAGUUUCUCUGCGCUUGUUCGAUGGCCAUCAUCGCCGGUUUCCUCGCCAGGCGAGCGCUUCGACGAACCUCGUUCAUGUCAAAAGUACGGCGCUGCUUCGCACGUCAAGCUGGUUGUAGUUGCAGCGCUGGUGGUUUUGUGUUGCUGAAGAGGUCGUGGACGGAAGGUGCUGGUAUGGAGUCACCUUGUGGCGGAGCCGGCACGCUGUCUGGAGGCGACGCGAGUGCCUCCUCUGGCGCGGCAACAUCGACGUUGCCUGGAGCAGGAGCGCGCUCCGCAGGAGAACUGCGCCAGCUGACAGGCCUAGUUGUCACGGUGCGCAUUUGCCCUGUUGGACCGUUGUGGCCUAGGAAGUGGUGGCCCACUGCCACUUGCGCUCGCGACACACUGCAUCCUGGCCUCGAUGGCCAUGGAGCUUGACAUUUCUUUCGCGCCCUCUUCCCGGGUGUUCGUAGCCGUCAUCGUUGUGGUGCGGCCAGCGGGAGGGCAUGUCAUCACAUGAGCCCUUGCCACCCCCCCGGUUGGCAUCGCGAUGUCGCCGGUCGUCGUCCUCGCGCUUGCCGCUCCUGUCAUGUUCGUCGUGGCUGCCCUCCCGUGGCUCCUAUUCCCGCGGUGGCCAGGGAAGCCUUGUGGGGAACUUUGCGUGUGCGUCCGAGGGAGCGUCGCCCGGCACCCCAUAGCGCCCGGCGUAGCCCCAGCACGCAGAGUUGAAGUUGGAGGGGUUGUUCACGGCAUCGUCAAGGUCGCAAGCCGCCGCGGUGUGGUCCUCCAGCACGCCCAAGUGCAGGACGACCUCAUAGCGCACCCCCUGUUGCCAGCGGUCCAGCUGCGAUGUGGAGACGGCGAUCGAUGAAGACUUGUCGGAAGGUUGGUGAGUGAAAAUGAGUGACACUCACUUGGGAAUUUCACUUGGGUUCACUGUCCAAGCCCAUAGAUCGGUGUGCCUGGUGUCGGUGGGCUGGACAAGUUCAGAGUUGAUAAUUUGGAGGGCGCAGCACGUGCCGAUGAUGCGCUCGACGAUGUCCAGUGUGCACACGUGUAUCGGAAUGCCGUCAAUGUGGAGACACACCCAGAAGAAGAUGCGCAAGCCGAGCGCGUGGCUUAGGCUGCGCCAUGGAUGCAAGCAUAUGUCGAUGCCGCGGCCUUGGAAGCGUCCACUGUUGCGUGCUGCAGCACAGUGCGCACUGUCAAUGAAGCAGAUGAGGAACGGCUCCGUCUGAUGCAUGGUGACAAUGACUUCACCCCUCUGGAGGCGCAGCAUGUCCAGAAGGAGAUCUUUAAUGUCUUUGGCACCAGCGCCGCGUGAGAGCCCAUGGGACCAAAGUCGUCUUCUCCCAUUCCCUGGCAUCUCGCUCAAGGUCAAAGGAGUUAGGGAUGAUGAUGGUCUCCUUGUCAGGGCGGGUGUUUGGGUCGCCAAUCGCCAUCCGCGAUGGUGGAAGGGGCAGCUUCAGAGGUGGCGAAGGUGGCGGUGGUGGCGGACAGGGACGUGUAGUGGCUGGUGUAGUUGGUGGACGAGGAUGGGAGGAGGUUAGGGAUGGAUGGCUUGGGUGGUGCGGCGGCGGCGGUGGUAGUGGAGAGUGCUUUGGCGGUGCUUGGGGAUGAGCUGUGGCAGGUGGUGGGCGGGGAUGAGGUUUGGGUGGCCGGUGACGAGGUUGAGCAAGAUGGUAAGGACGCUGGUUUCUGCAGAAGAGUGCCCGGUGCCUCAAGCGACGGCAGAGGAAGUAGUGUACAGGGUCUCUGUAGCUGGCCGCGCAGUGGUCUUUGGUGAGACAGGUGAAACACCAUCCGACAGUGAUGCAAUUGAAGGCGUCAAGCGCAAUGGUUGUUGCGUGCUUUGACUCCUCAUCGCGCUGCCGGUCGCUUCAGGCUGGGUGGGUUGGGGCGGCGUGAUGUGCUUUGAAUGCUUCCUGCGCCUUGUAGUUGUCAUCCAUUCCUGGACGGAGGCGUGGUAGCUUGGCUGGAGGGCCUGAUGGGGAGCACUGGCGCGCCCAUGACUCCUUCUCCCUGAAGUCAGUGCGUCGUGGCCUUGUCAACUCACCGGCUUGAAUGCGGCGUCCUUGAGGGCGAGAGGUGUGCUGCCUCUUCGGCCGUUGAGAGUAUUGACUCCCCCUAGCUUUACUACCUCCGCAUAGGACCUCCAUCGAUUCGCCGUGAAAAGGGGGCGGAUCCUGCCUCGCUGGUGCUGGAUCCUGCGCACAUACCUUCAAAUCCAUCGCCGGUGCCUGCGGAUCCGGCGUUUCUGACACGGAAUCGUCCUCAUCGAGGCGGGGUUGCCCAUGGCGUGGCGGCCGGGGGGGGGGGGGGGGGGCUCGCGGAAGAACUGCUCCCAGAACGAUUUUGGGCUAUGUGUGGCUGAUUCAGUGUAGGGGAGUGGCGCUAGUUCGAAGGGAGGCAGCAGCGGAGGGUGCGCGGUGGUGGGGUUUGCUGGUGGCUUGGUGGCAGCGGCGGCGGUGGAGGACGGGGGUCGGGGUUGGGACGCAUGGCGGACCUUCAGCUGCUCCUUGUAAGCCUUCUUCCCCGCGUGCUCUCGUAACGCCGACAGGUGAAAACGACUCGGGGGAUCUCACACAGGGCAGUUCCAAUGGAAUAUUGAUGAUAGUUUCUAUGUCUAUUAAUUACCUUGAAAACUUAGCUUUUUGCUCAUGUGACAAUGAAGUUAAUGUAGAGAGAGAACACACAACUAAGAAAUGGUUUCCUUCUCAGAAAAUUAAGUCUUCACGGGAAUCAACGCACCAAGAAACUAGAGAAAUGACAUUGGGGAGAAACCAUCGAUUUCCAACGGCCUCAUCUGGAUCCAGUGCGCCUGGAACAGGAAGUCCAUCAGGCACCGGGCCUCCUUUACGUGCAUAGAGGAUCUGAUACUAGAAGGGAGAAUGAUUGGUUGGAUUUUCAUUUAAACUUUAGAUAAAAAAAUUGGAUUGUAAAAGAUAAUUUCUUGAUACAAUAUCUAGAAUAUGAAAACUACUAGUGAUUUCUCCCGUGAGGGCAUCUCCCGUUAGGAAUGCCCUCAGAGUCCGUGCACGGAUAACCUCUCCGCCCAGCGUAGCGUCGGCUUAUCCCAUCCAUAGCGUACGUGCCUGAGAUCGAACGAACGGCGGAUCCCGCGGGCCCAGCCGGGCAGCCAAUCGUGUCCACCCGAGCCGAGCACGAGCAGUUCCCAACGGAAAGGGGGAACCGGGGCAUGUUCGUUUUGACCCGGGGGCACGUUGGGGCCCGGCAUACGAUAGUUUACGCGAUCCGCACCCACCAACGUUACCAAACUCCGCAACCUACACGGGCUAACUGGCGCGGCGAACUACCUAAUCAGGGCUAGAUUAUUGGCUCGGGAUGGAUGGAGUGGAUUAGAGAACGCCGGGGGCUAGCCACACAUGACGGAGCGCUAGGAGAGGAGCACAGCGGGCACAGCUCAUGGGGUAGCUAGCCAAUCGGUGGCGGUUGCUCCACCAGAAUUUGGAAACAAGUACCAAACGGAUUCCCCUCCUCAUCUCCUCGGCCUUUUUCUAAUCAUGGACUGGCCCAACGGAAUUAUGGCUUUCCGGUGCUGCUGUGCUGGGUUAGCUAACCCCCAGGAGGAAAAAAAAUUGUGUCGACUUCUACUUCUAUUGGCGCUAGCUACGACAGUUUGCGUAACUAGCAAACUACUCCACCGAGAAUGCCUAGCACAUCUGAACUUGGGUGAAAUCUGGAGCGCCCCCUGAUUUUGGAGUAAAUUUUUCGCUUCAAAUAUUAACCGCCAGUCGGCCGAUCAUGCUAGUAUGAGACUAGCACCCGCGCGGGCGCGGUCAAAUGCCGCGCAUCUUGUAGGGUCCAGUCAAUGGAGGGAGAAAUCGGGAAAUAAAAAAGAAUAAAAUCCACGCCCCCUCUCUUACUCGCACGCACCGCCUGGCUCCCAUAUAUACGGCGCGCUCCGUUGCCUCCUCGAUCUUCCCUUUCAUAACCAAGCUAGCGCUCAGAGACUCGAGGGGCAAACUCGACUCGAGCUCAGAGCAGAGGCGUCCGGCAAGAAACACCUGCGGCGGCGCGGGCAAGAACCCAAGAAGGCCAGGAAGGAGAAGAGAAGAGCAGAGGAAGGCAUGGGGAGGUCUCCGUGCUGCGAGAAGGCGCACACGAACAAGGGCGCGUGGACAAAGGAGGAGGACCAGCGCCUGAUCGCCUACAUCAAGGCGCACGGCGAGGGGUGCUGGCGCUCGCUGCCCAAGGCCGCCGGCCUCCUCCGCUGCGGCAAGAGCUGCAGGCUGCGCUGGAUGAACUACCUCCGCCCGGACCUCAAGCGCGGCAACUUCACCGACGAAGACGACGAGCUCAUCAUCAAGCUCCACGCCCUGCUCGGCAACAAGUAAGCGACCUCUUCCUCUCCACUCCGCCGCUUCGCUCUCGCUCUCGCUCUCUUUCUUUCCGACGGGCGGGUGACUGAUCGGGCUCGAUCGCGCAGGUGGUCGCUGAUCGCGGGGCAGCUGCCCGGCCGGACGGACAACGAGAUCAAGAACUACUGGAACACGCACAUCAAGCGCAAGCUCCUCAGCCGCGGCAUCGACCCGCAGACGCACCGCCCGCUCAGCGGCGGGAGCGCCGCUGCCGCGGCCAGCGGGCUCACCACGUCCAGCACCGCCGGCUUCCCGUCCCCGCCGCCGGCGCCCAGGCCGGCGCGCCCGGCCAUCACCAUCCCGCCCAAUGCGAUGUUCGCGAGGCCCGCGCCGUCGGAGGACGGCCACAGCAGCAGCGGCGGGAGCUCGGACGCGCCGCGCUGCCCCGACCUGAACCUCGACCUCGACCUGUCCGUCGGCCCGCCGUGCUCGCCGCCCAAGACGCCGGCCGCCGCCGCGACGACGCCCACCUCGCAGCAGCAGCAGCAGCAGCAGCAGCAACGGGCGACCAUCUGCCUGUGCUACCACCUCGGCGUCCGCGGCGGGGAGGCCUGCAGCUGCAAGACCGCGUCGCCGGCGGGGUUCCGGUUUCUCAGGCCGCUAGAGGAGGGCCAGUACAUAUAGGAGGCGUCGUAAAAUCACAACAGUAGUCAGGCAGAGGCACACCCAAGAAAAACCUGUAAAAACAACAUGAAAAAAGAGAGUUUCUAAUGGAGAUGACUGAUGUGGAUGAUGAGAGUAUCAUUUCGCAUGUUUCCCUUUUCUUCAGAACCGGAUGAUUUCCCCCUUUCCAUUUCUUGGUUUUGUGUAGGGGCAAUGGUUUGGAGCAUCUUGUGAUUUGCGCAUCCGAUUCGGCGUAUGCUUUGCCAUUUGUGCCAUGCGGGGAUAUACCAGUUCGAGAAUACAUCAUCAUCAUGUGGUGUGCUGUUGGUAGGUACACAAAAAUUUAUGUGGGUGCUCCAAGGAAAUAAGAAGAAGAAUACUACAAAGAUAACAUGGUGUGGCAAGUUAGGCACCGAAGAAUUUUUGGAGAAACUGACAUGGCCUUAGUUUUGCCGGAAAGCUUUCUUUGUUGUUUAACCGUGAGAGUGACUUGAAUGAAAUUGUGAAUGUGGCGUUGUAGUGGUAGUUAGCCAACCAACCUAGGUAGGUCGACAGGUAAAAGGACAAGGGGAAAAGUAUAAGUAGUAAAACACACAGGAUAAACGAGCCGACUGCCUGCUGGAUUCGAAGUAAUCCUCCGAAUUUCCUGCGGAAUUAACUUCUGCGAAUAGAUUCCUUCUCUUUGACUUUUCUGUUUCACAUUGUCAGGGACUCAGGGGCAGUGAACUUGGUGGGGUGGAAGUUGAUGGUUUUGUGUCAUACGUCACUGAGGUUUUGUUCUUAUUGAAGCUGCAUUCACACGGAUAGCGAGAUGAACUAAGAAUGUAAAACGCAACUGUAAAUUGUUCGGAGCUGUUGGCUAUACUCCAGUUCCUGGGAUGGAUCAUGAAUGGCAUGAAACACAUUUCAUUUUCCAGUGAAAAAGGAGAUGAACCAUCGGGACCUUCUUUUACUUUUGAGGUUUCUCCACCACCACCUGUCAGUCAGCCUGUAAACUGAGUUCUUAUCCUUGUGUCAAAACACAAACGGGAGUUUCUUGCGGGUAAGUCCGACGUGGACGUGGAUAAAUUUUGCUGACCCAAUAAUCUCCGUUUACUCUACGCCUUGCGGCGAUGUGAUUUUCAAACCCCUUGACAUUGUUGGUUCGUAUCACGUACUGCGUGUUGUGCUGGUUUUCGUGUACUACGUACUGUACCUGAUGAAUUUCCAGACGGAGUUCUGCUUCCAUCUCUUUUCUCUUCAUCUGAGGCAGCUGGGAAGGAAGGUUGGUUAACGGGUCCCCAUCCGAAAAAAUUCCAUGGGCAUGUGCGAGGUCAACAAUUGCUUCAUCUGCCAUCAUGUUUGGAACAGGAAUAUUUGAAGUCGGACACCAGUUUCAUUGCCCAUUUGCCCCCCGGGAUCACAUGAGGUCAGGAGAUAAAUUAUGACUCUUCCGCCUACCGCACGUACGCCGUUGAUCUCGUGAUUUGACCAGCCAGCUCUGCCAUGUCGUGUCGUUAAUGCUACUAAUUGCUUCGCUAGCUAGACUUCCUUCCUACCAAGUACCAGCUCGUUGCAUGGUGAUGACGGAGCUCACCCAAAUGAUUUGCCAAACUAAUGUAACGUGUUCCUGAAAGCUGCAAUGUGAACUCUCCGGGUGGAAUGUACCACGACCUUUCUUUUCUAACCUGCGUUUCAUGUAAUCUAGUCGCCGGGCGUUUACAUUCACGAUUCAACUCAAAAGUUAUAGUACGCAAGGAUCUCUGAAACUUCAUUUUGGUGGCGUGGAAUUCCCUCUCUGAGCUCCCGUACCUUGCACACCAUAGCAUAGGUUGCUGGCCAGUGACCGGUUAAUUGGGGACGCAACGGAACAAACCGUUCCUUUCCUUCCUCCGGCUACAGGGCUACAGGUUCUCCGUUCCCGUGCAUUUUCCACGCCGAUCCCCGUGCGCGAGAUACUUGUGGCAGCGACAGAUUCCGUUACCUGUUACUUCCCGGACAAGUACCCCUACCAAACCGCUUUUGUUUCCCUCGCCCGACGGCCUGCUCAUCAGUCAUCACCGCCACGACGCACGAAGCCCACGCUUCCCGAGUUCCCGCCCACCCGUGUCCGGACACCUCGGUUGCUUGCGCUGCGCGGCGGCCUCCCCUCGCGGCCACCACAAGCUCUCGGCACGGCAGCAAGUUGGCGGAGGCUUUCCCCGCCCGCUUGCCCACCGCCAUGCCGUCACCGCGUGUCGCGAGACGGGCGCCCGUGUGGACACGGCAGUGCCGGCCAAAAUCGUGACGGGAGCAAGCGGGCGGCGUCGCGCUCCAGCCCCCGAGACCAUGAUCGCGCGCGCUCUAUCUCUAUGCCGCGCUGGUGGGUCGUGACUCGUGACGACGCCCGGUGGAUUGGUCCGUCUACCUACCAGGGACUGCCGCCAUGUUCCCACCACGCAGAUCUCCGAAUGAAUCUGAACUUGCACAGACCGUGCCGGCGUGAGGGGUUCAUCAACAUGCUGCAGCCUGCUGGGCCUGUACUACUUGAGCAUUACGGCUGCAGCAGUGUCGCACACGCACCGCGGCCUGUUGCAUCCUUUUCGAGCACUUUUCUCCCGUGAAGGCGUGAAGGGGUGCACCAUCGCGGAAUCCCUAUCCUGCAAGUAUGCAAAACCGAGUAAAAAAAGCGACACCAUUGCAUAGGGAGGGUAUCGAUAUCAUAUCAAGUAGGCGCGGCCCCCACACGGGCGGGUCCGAGGUGAGCUUUUGGGCUGCGUGGCCCGGCGAACCCCCACAAAAAAUCGUUCAAUCAGGGUGGGGACCAAAGGAGGCCGGAGCCCGUCCGGGAGGUUUGGAUGAGGACAAGCGGCCAAGCGGGUCUCAAGCGAGUGGAGAGCAUCUGCGGGGAGAGGACGGAAGCGAGCAAGUGCCGCGCGGAGAACAACGUGCGAUGCCGUGGUAGUUGCUGGUUGGUGGGCGGAUGACAUCACCGACGACCGCCCGCACCGUCACCGGAGCCAGCUCCUUUCGCCGGCCGGGGAACUUUUGGGGCGCCCGCCGGCGGGAUUUCCGGGUCGUGCUCGUGCUUGCGUCGUCCGAUCGUCCUAGAUUCCACCCCGACGCCGCGGCGCUGUAACUGGAGAACGACCACAAGUCAGACACGAGACAUGAUUCUUGGAUGAAGGAACCUAAGUUAAAAGAUGGCAAACGAAACCGGACAUUCAAGCUAAUCCUUUGAGAGAGAGAAAAAACUAAUCCUAAUUUUGCACAGCUCUUUGGCGUGGAUUAGGCGUUGAUGUCAUCGUUGCAACUGUGGCGAUACUAACUGACAACAUCAGGGAAACUAACACGAGAUCCAGAUGAUUGGCUUAGCCAACCUGUUCCGGUUUAGGCGUACGGUUGCUGGUUCGGCCAUGAAAGCUGGCCCGAAUGAUGUUGCUGCCGGACCGGUGCCGCAACGGCGAGGUAGCCAUCGUGGCCUCCGAAAGGCAGCUGUCCGAUCUCUGCAGCGUUGCGUCCCUGAUGGAACGAUCUCAACCGUGCCAGCAGUGUUUGCAGCGCAGGCAAGCAUCUAGCCAUACUAGCUAGAAGGCACCUGUUGAUGGACACAGAUGGCGCGUUUUCGAAACAGUCGCUUCGUUCCAUGCUGACGGAGUUAACAAUCGUAUCAGCGGUUAAAAAAAUAUGUACACGCUCACGUCCAAUGUUUCUGAUUCAGGGACUACUAUCUCUGUCGUGAUCAAUCAUUCAGUGGAAAGGGGAAACGCAAGAGAUCAGGAACUUAGGGGGUGUUCGAUACACCCUCCUAAACUUUAGUACCUGUCACAUUGAAUGUUUGGAUACUAAUUAAAAGUAUUUAAAUAUAGUCUAAUUAUAAAACUAAUUGCACAGAUGGAGUCUAAUUCGCGAAACGAAUCUAUUAAGCCUAAUUAGUUCAUGAUUUGACAAUAUGGUGCUACAGUAACCAUUUGCUAAUGACGGAUUAAUUAGGCUUAAUAGAUUCGUCUCGCGAAUUAGUAUAGGGGUUCUGCAGUUAGUUUUAUAUUAACUCAUAUUUAGUCCUCCUAAUUAGCGUUCGAACAUCCAAUGUGACCCUCCUAAAAUUUAAUCCCGUAGCGGAUGAUGCUACUGCUUGAAUUGAAUUGUGAAUCUCUGACUAAGUUUUCAAGUUGAGGCAGGUGGUUUGGAUCGAAUAAAAUUAGAGCUAACACGUUAUCGUUUAAUAGCUCCAGUAUGCUGAUUGGCUCGGCCAUAAUUCAGCAGCAGGCCAUAAGCCUGGGGUCAUACCUACCAUUUUGUCCAAACAGAGUACGAGCUGUGGCGGGCCAUGAUAUAGCAGCAGCCUGUCCCUAUAACUAGGUAUUCCUCUGCGUCUACCCGUGGCCAGUGGGCAUGUGACUUGGCAAUGCCUCCUCUCUCUGUGGUGGUUGCAUACAGCAGCAGACAGAAUAUUGGCCAACAGUUGAGGAAUUUGGUGCUGCUACCAUUUGGAUGAAUAGGGUAGGUCCUGCCUUUAGGGUUGUUUGGAUGAGAUACAAAUUAUAAAAAUCCGGAUAGUAGUUAUAGAUUAUUAGAAUAUGGAUUGUAUAUUAUAAAUAGUUAGGGCUGUUUGGAUCCCUAUAUUAUAUGGUGGUUGGAGGAUCGGUUGCAUCUUUAAUCAGAUUAUAGUGUAGAUUAUAGAACUUAUAAUCUCUAACCUAUUUAUUCUCAUCUCCCAAACCGGCAUUUGUAAAUUAUGCUACCAAUUUUGGUUUCCUCGUAAUGACUUCCAUUCGGAACAAAGACAAAAGUAAUAGAGAAAUUAAAUAUUUUUAGAGGGGUAGACAUCGCCCCACCCCAUUUCAAUGAACAAAACAAUUUUUCAUGGAAAAUUAAAUAUUGAUGUUACACUACACUCUUUGCGUUAUACAUAUUCUCAGUUUUUACAAUACAUACUCUCUCCGUCCCAAAACAAGUGUUCGUUUAGAAAAUUUUGGACACACUAGUAGUUGUGAGAAGUGAUCAUAAUACCUCUAAUUACUCAUGUUAGCUAGGAAGUCUGCUUGAUUUUCUGGAUCCUGAAUAACUACAUGCGCAUUGAAAUCAGAGAAAAAGCAGCAAUCGAUCAUUUCAUUGGUUAGGCCAGUCUCAGUGCACAGUUUCAUGGUACAGUUACCAAGGUUGAGAAUUUGGUAAUUGUGCCUGCUGGGUUUCAUGGUUAUGGAAACUCCUCACAUAUGAUGAAACUCCAUCUUCUCUCUCCUCAUAAUGACCUUGUCACAUUAGGAACAUUUUAUUUAAUGGCCAUGAAACUCUUGAUGAAACCUCCACUGAGACUGGUCUUAUAUGCACUUCUCAAUACACUUUUUUUUUGUUGAUGUGAGUGUUGAUUUAAUUAGAUGAAUCUUACUACAAACUAAAUGAACACUAUCUGUGGAACAAAAUUUCAAGACUAAACGAACACUUAUUUUAGAAUGGAGGGAUUGCAAUGUAACAAUCCUCCCCCGGUCUGCCAUCAAUCUUCAAUCUCAUGCUAAACUGAUCGGAAUAAUAUAAUUUUCUUAAGGGACGUUUGGAUACCAGAGGCUAAACUUUAGCCCUGUCACAUCGGAUGUUCGGAUGCUAAUUAGGAGGACUAAUUACAAAACUAAUAGCAGAACCCCUAGGCUAAAUCGCGAGAUGAAUCUAUUAAGCCUAAUUAAUCCAUCAUUAGCGAAUGGCUACUAUAGCACCACAUUGUCAAAUCAUGGACUAAUUAGGCUUAAUAGAUUCAUCUCGCGAUUUAACCUAGAGGUUGUGGAAUUAGUUUUAUAAUUAGCUUAUAUUUAAUACUUCUAAUUAGUGUCAAAUAUCCGAUAUGACAUGGGUUAAAGUUUAGCUCAUAUCUCCCAAACACUCCUGUUGGGGGGAAAUAUUAACGACCUCCUAAUACCGCUUAAAGCAACAGUCAUGAAGGCCCAGGCCCACCUGCGGUAAUUACGAUUACCGCCGACCCAGUAGAGGCAGAGAACAUCCCACUCCGUCUCGCCCGACCCGGGGUCGGACAAUCCCGACCCCUCGAUGGCGGGACUCCGCCUCGCCCGACCGCGGUCCCAGGGUCGGGAGCGUCCGACCCCUCGCCGCAAGCUCCGCCUCGCCCGACCCGGGGCCCCGGGGUCGGACAAUCCCGACCCCUCGAUGGCGGGACUCCGUCUCGCCCGACCGCGAUCCCAGGGUCGGGAGCGCCCGACCCCGGGCGUAGGGGGUCGGACUCAUCCCAACCCACAAGACAAGUGUCCACCUCGGGCGCAGACCGACGGACAAGGGCGCGGAUCUUGUGGGCCCCCUCAGCGGUCUCGCCAUAAAUGCCCCGCGGCUCUGGCACGCAGAAAGGCGCCCGCGCCCCUCGACGUGACCCGCCACAAGUACCCGAGCGGAACACUGUAGCCACGACCGCACAUGCUACAGUGGCCGCAGAUCCCCCUGAUUCGCAGCAGGGCACUCAUGGCUUGCGCCGCCCGGAGCAGGGGGAAGUCGCGCCCGUCCUCGCGCCGCACGCAUCCGGCGACAGGGACGCGACGUCCGCCUUCCGCGGGCCGUCAGCAGAUGGCGGGAUCCGCCGCCUCCCCCAACGGACACAGGUGCCACGACGAAACACCAUCAUCGCGCAUGGCGGCGACAGCUGUCGAGGAGACCAUCGACGGGACGCGACGGCGGCCGUCCUCCUCCGGCAGACGCGCUGGCAGGAGCCGAAGGCCGGCGAGGGCGCCUGUGGCCUGGGGACUUGGGCCCUCUCCUUGUGUUGUUUUCUACCUAGCUUUGUUUAUCUCUUUUACUUCUCCUGACAGCCGGUCUCACCUGUAACCUCGGUGGCCUCCUUGCUCUAUAAAAGGAGAACCGGGGGCCUGAGAUAUGGGAGAGGCUUCCAUGCUAACAGAGCACACUCACACCCACUUAGAGCACGAGCGCACUCUCAAGAGACCUGGGAUCGGUUCCCUCUCUCGCACUACUAUAACCCCUACUACAGAACCCCGCGUGGGUAACACGAGCAGCCUCGAUACUGGACGUAGGGCCUCCUUUUGCCCGAACCAGUCUAACCCCGUGUCUCCCACGCUACCAUCCGAAGCCUUACGCGCAUAAAAGAAAUUUACUAGUUUAGAGUCUUGAUCCGCAAAUGUUGAUAACGACAACUCUCUUAAUACUCCCUCCCUCCUUCCCUCACCCUCUCCCACAUUUCGAUACUCCAGCCAACUCGACGGCCCUGUUGUCAAGGCAGUCAAUGAAGUAGAGCUCCAGUCAGCAAAGUGAUCGGCUCGCAUAUCACUUUCCGCCUGGCGCAUUUAUCAGAGCUGUAAAUUCCAACCUGCAGCAGGACAGCAGUGUGUUGACGAAGAUACUUCCUCUGUGUCUGGAGGACGGAACGUACCAAAUCCUCCUUGGAAGCUGCCUGCCUGCUUGCCUUGCUUCCGUCCUGCAAACCUCUGGAGAAGCAAAGCGUCUUGUCACGUCGCGGUCGGUUCGGUGAAAAACAGGCAAUCAACGCAAGAAGAUGUCACAUGGCUGCAAAGACACCGAUAAAUUGGUCAAAGGCUAGCUACUUUUGAGUUUUGAAGGCUGGGGACGUCAGAUGUGGGGAGACCGGCCGGGAGACUGUCUGAUGGUCGGCGACCUCCGCUGCCCCAGUUGCAGUGCCUUUUUGGAAGAAUUACAGUCCUUGGCCUCCGCUGCCCCAGUUGCAGACAGGAAACAAGCGCCUCGGCCUUCCGUUCACUUCGUCAACUCGUGGAACGAAAGCUCCCCUCCAAGAGCUACAAGAAAUGCGCUGUUCUUCCACGCCCAUGCUGCACUUCUCAUCAUCUAUGCCUGUCUGAUUCAGGAUAGGCGCGACGGGUCUUUGCCGUCCCACGGAUUCAGGACACGGCGACGGGCCUCGCGCUCGUCCUCGUCGUCGCGGUUUGUCCGGGGCAGCAGCAAGCUGCAGCGGCUGCUAAUGCUAACCGACCCGUCGCAAAAGUCACCGCCGAUCGCCACCCGAUUUCGCCGUUGUCGCGGUCAGGUUUCCGUAAACCGCGUGAGCUUGCCCCCUCGAGCUCGGGCUUUGUUUAGCCGUGCAGGUUUGGUUAGAGGACACAGGCAGGCAGGCAGGGGCGCUACCCUUGACUCUUGUGGCCGAUUGAUUACGGCCGUUUUCUCCAUGUCUGCACACCAGCUCCUUUCUUGACUUCCUGGGGGCACCUGCCUGGCUGGCUGUCCUGCCGAGCGACCUCCCUGCCCUGUCCCCGGAAGAUGGUCUGAAACUUUGACGUGAGACUUGGAGCCUAGCGCCUCGCCUGACGAACGCGCCCUCUGUCUGGCUGCAGGCUGCCCGCUACUGCAUAGUGCAGGAGUUCAGCCGGGCGUUCGUUUUGUUCAAAUGGCAUCACAUUGACCCCCGGGGCCGUGCGCCCGGCCCGUGAGUGAGUGUCCGCGGGUGCGUGCUUGACGGGUCCAUGCAAUGCCAGUCAACCCGCACGGGGCCACUCGACGAUCGAUGAGGGAGGAGGGAUGGCUUGCUCAGGUCUCAAACAAAAGAAGCGCCACAUGGAUGCUGCACGCAAAAAGUGCCAAAAAAAAAAGGAAGAGUUGGAGGAGAUGCGGGCUCUCAAUCAGUAUGGGGGACAGCCCGAAUGGUACGUGAUGUUGGGCCAGCCCAGCAAGCAGGCACCGCCAUAUAGUUGGGCCGCGGAGCAUUGUUGGUUCUUGUGCAGGAGUCAAAGUGUUGUUGCUUUUCCGGACCUGUCCAUGUCCGGCUUCAUCCGAUUCUUUGGCGUAUUUACACCAGCAAGCCAUAUGAAACCUGUGGUGAUGAAGAUGAUGAUGGUAUGGUUGCUCAUGUCGGAGACUUCGGGCUAGAAAGGUUCAAAUUUGGUUCCGCAGCAACAUCUUUUGCUGACCCAAAUUCCACUUCCGCAGCAACAUCUUUUGCUGCGUCAUUUGUGCUUACCUGAGCAGCAACAGGCUCACAGUAAUCCUCUUCGUAUACUGUCAGUGGUCAGCUGAUGUAAACAAAGAACGCAGGAGUGUGUGCUUGCACCAAAGAAAAGAAUCUAUAAUCAUUUUAUUAUUUGAUACAUGAUACUCGAAUCAGAAAGACAUCUGGAUUCAUAAAGUCAGUGAGUAUAACAAAAUUCUUCGUUUUGUAAGCUAGAACAACACAAAGCUACACAAUCCUGUUCAUACAGGAAUAUGGGAUGGGAUACCUCUACUACCAUCUAUCAUUUACGGCUUGGCGACCCAUGA